AGGUAUGAUUUAAAUCCAUUUAUUUGGAGGAGGGAAUAGGGGUUGAUCCAUAUGCUCUUUUCUAUAUUAAAUUAGUUUAUGAAACUCUUAUGCAAUUGGUUAUGGUCUUCCAUUUCUGUCAAGAUUAAAUGACCAUAGAUAUAAAUGCAUUAUAACCCUGUCAUAUCUUUAUAAAUUCAUACAACUUGUGUUCGUAAUAGCUGAAUUCGAGAAUAUAAUUUAGGCCAAAUACCUCCCUGGGUCUAGGGUUGGGAAUAGGCCAGGCCAGGCUUUGAUAGGCCUGAGCCUGGCCUACGAAAAAAUUUGCAGGCCCGAGCCUGGCCUAUGGCCUUUCAUAGGCCUAUUAUUUUGGCCUGGCCUGAAAGCCUAUUUACAGGCCUACUUACUAUUAAAGUCACUAAACAUUCCAUUUUAUCUACUUUUAAAUAGGCUUAAUAGGCUUCAAAGGCUAUUCCAGUGUAAGAUUUGUCUAUCACUAUAAGGCCUUAAAAACAUAUUUCACUAUAAAGCUUUAAAGCCUAUUUAAAAAGUCCACUAUGAAGCCUAACAUGCAUAAACAGGCCGGCCUAUUAGGAUUCAUAGGCUUUUUUUAUAGCCUAAGUUUGGCCUAUUUACUUAAAUAGGCUUUUUAAAAAGCCUAAGCCUAGCCUUUUUAAUAAACAGGCCAGACCAGGCUUAAACAGGCCAGACCAUAGGCCCCUGUAGGCCGGCCUGGCCUAUUCCCAACCCUACCUGGGUCCUUUUAAGUUUCAAGUUUGUUUCAGAUAGGUUAUUUCUAUCAAAUCAACUUUGGCUUAACGGAGGUUGAUAGAAAGGACCUAUCUGAAACAAACUCGAAAUUUAAAGGACCUAUCUGAAACCUUAGAAACUUAAAGGAUCUAUCUGAAACAAACGUGAAACUUAAAGGACCCGAGUAGGUAUUUGGCCUAUAAUUUAAAAUAUUCAUGGAUUACUUUCUCCUUUUGUUGCAUCUGGAAAAAUUUAUGACAUUGAAAAUCUGUUAUAUUGAUGGUCUGAUUGUUGAGCAUGAUCAUGCAACUUGAGACAUUGCCAUUGUCUGAACAGAUCUAAUUACUUAACAGGAACUGUACUAAUAUUAUGUAUCAUAAUUAGGCUUAAUCAUAUCAAAUAGAUGGAAAUAAAUAUUUCAAAUGCCGUUGUCCAGACAAAGUUGUUACUAAUCACUUUUUGUUAGUGGUUCUGCUAGAUUCUAGUUUUACAUUUCAGAUAUAGAUUGAUGAAGGAUACCUUCAAUCUAUGUUGUUUGAUGACAAAAUGGGGGAGAAUGUGUUUAUCUGCAUUGAUUUUACCGAUCUUGCACACUGCAAUUCCAUCAAAGAGCAAGAAGGGGAUUCAUUUGUUUGAUGAAAUUUUUAAUGUAUUGUCUAUUUUCAUCCUUUAUUUGUUUUAUAAAUAAGUUAUACAAAUAUUGCUCUUACACUGUUGAAUAUAUUUGUGGCUGUAUUUUUCUAUGAUACAUGGUAAUUUGCAAUUCACUUUAAUACUUGGCUUUGUGGAAGUUUGUUUAAGCAUGAUUAAAGAAUGUUAUUUGAUGAUGAGUAUAGGGAAAAUGAAUUAGUACAAGAUUACAAAGCUAAUAAUGAUUCUGCAGCGAAUGCGAAAAACUAGUACUACCACCAUCUAGUUUUAAUAACAUUUAAUAUUUUUUUUUUAGCUAUUUUCUUCCAUUUCUCAUAUAAAAAAAAAAUAUUUCAUCCCUAAAUAAAGAAAAGUCCACAAUCAAUUUAUUGGGAUCAUUGAACAAUUCUUGUUCAAAAGAACUUAUUCCACAGCUCCAUUUCCAACAUCACAACUCAUUCAUCCAUCCAUUGUUCCACAUCAACAAGAGUGAUUAUCAUAUGACAAUUGUAACAGUCUUGAGAUCAUAGGCUACGCUUAGACAUAACCUACUUGUUUUUUCUUAAUUUUUCCAACUCAAAAAGUGGAAACAAUAAUUACCUGAACACUUCAUAACUAGAGGUCUUUUUUCACCUUUGGACAAUCAUUGACAGUAACACAACGAACAUUAACUGCAUCGUAAAAUAAAAUGUCACUACAAUUUGAUAAAAUAUUGUGUAAAAGAGAGUACUUAAAAAAAAAUGGCGUAGAAAGUACCAUACUCCUAUUAGCUUUCAACAAGAAAUAGGGAAAGAAAGAUGACUAAAACAUAAAUAAAGAAAGAUAGGAAAUUGAGCCAUAUUGUUUUCCUUUCUUAGAUGUUUCAUGUGGAUAUUAUUUUACUUGAUCCUUGUGGAAUUUAUGUUAUGCUAUUAUUAACUCUUGUGUAUAAAUAGAAUACAAUACCAAUACUUAAAAUAGACAUAAAAAACGAUGUGAGACAAUAGAUAAUUAAACCAUUCUUACAUAAUUUAUUCCUUACAAAAUAUAAUUCACAGAAUUUACUUUUACAUAAAACAGAACGCACACACAACACACUUCACAAUAUUCUCAACCUAAAAACAGAGUAAUAGAGCUUGAAUAUGUGUUCAACCAGAGAUUUCGAUGGACUUAACAUCAGGUUUCUUAACUUCUUCUUUUGGAACAGUAACAGUGAGAACACCAUUCUCCAUUGCAGCUUUCACUUGAUCCAUUUUCGCAUUUUCGGGCAACCUGAAUCUCCUCAUGAACUUUCCGCUGCUGCGCUCCACACGAUGCCAUUGAUCGUUCUUAUCUUCUUUCUCAACAUUCCUCUCUCCGCUUAUCUGAAGAACCCUAUCACCUUCAAUUUCAACCUUCACUUCCUCCUUCUUCAGUCCAGGAAGAUCAGCCUUGAACACAUGUGCUUCUGGGGUCUCCUUCCAAUCAAUCCUGGUGCUCACAAAAGCAGAAUUCUCCUGAGGGAAUGAAGAAGCAGAAAGUGCAGAAUUGGUUAAAGGAAAAUCCUUGAAGGGGUCCCAAACGUCAAGGGAGAAUGGAUCGAAAACGUUGCUCCUUCGGCCACCAAAGAAACUUGGAAUCAACGACAUUUUGAAGAAGUAAAGAACUUUGUAAACUGAGAACUAACUGAGUGCUUAAUGCUAUAGAUGUUCGGUGUAAAUCUAAUGAAUAGCAUAGUCCGGAUACCGUUGUCACGGGUUUAUAAAGGAGAUAGUGGAAUGAUCUUGUACUCUCGAGAAAAUGCGGCUCUAUUGAUUCAUUGUCACCACUCAAGUCUUGAAAAUUCAGGAACAUUCUCGAGAGACCUAGCUUGUUUUAUUUAGGUUAAAUUGAAUUUUGACCCCAACUUUUACAAACCUGAAAUUACAACCUUCAAACUUUCAAAAUUAUAACUUUUGGCCCUAACUUUAACCCUUUUUGAAUAGUGACUCCACAUCAAUUUUGAUCAAGUCAAUAAGGAUGUCGGGAGUCAUAAUCGUCCGUUUGUGUACAGUGGGGUCAAAAUUGUUGGUCUUUAAGGUCGGGGAACCAAAAGUGUUGUUUACUCAAAUAAUAAGUUACUUUAAAAUCAAGGAAAAAUUUGAUGUAAUGUAUGACAUUGAUCUAGUCAAAAUCAAGGAAAAAUCAUUUUUACAAAUAAUGCUAAGGUUGGGAGACCAAAAGUGAUACUUUAAAAGUUUGAAGGUCAAUAUCGUCGGUUUGUAAAAAUUGGGAGGUUAAAAGUGCAAUUUAGCCUUUUAUUUAUUAAGUCAUAAUUGACAUUCAAUAUCUAAUCUACACCUUGAGAGAGAAUGGAAUUCAAAAUUAAUAGAUGUUUGCCAUUUCCAAUGAGAAAUUUUAAUUAAUAAAAAUAGUUUAAUCCCUGUUUUCAAAUUUAACACUAUUUUUAAAGAUUAUAUGCAUUUUUACGCAAUAGACUAUUCAACAAAAUAUGUAAAAUUUCUUUUGAUUUUGAUAAAUAUUUACUUAAGAAGUAUUUUGAUAGAGAGACUAAUCUUAUGGACGUUCUUUAAAUUUAGAAACGAAUUUGGUAUUAUAUAAAUUUAAGAAACUAAAACCUCACUUUGUGAAUUUGUGUGUAUAUAUUGAAAAUAAAGAGGGCCUUAGUCCAAAGGGAAACUAUACAAGUACAACUCUGAGAUAUAUAAACCCUACAUAAUCACGCACAACUCAGCUAUAUAUGCUUUACAAUUGCCUGAGAAGAGAAACUACAAAGCCACUCGCAUUUGUCACCUUACACCAACCCAUCAACCAACCACGGGGUGACUCCAACUAAUCUAAAUUUGUUCCUUCACUACGCAUUCACCCGACUUGGAUAUGACAUCGGAAUGGCGUUAUGUUAUCGAACACAAUUUUGGUCUUUCAAAGUCACUAUAAUGCUCCUCCUUAUUCCUCAAAGUCCACGAAACAAGACAACUUAUAGCCAUAAAGAAAGUAUUUUUGUUUUCUUUUCUUAAAAUUUGUGUUAAUUUUACUUGUUAUCAAAGAGAUACUAGACCCUUUGGAUUAAACAGUUGUGUAUAUUUUGUGAAAAUAAUGAAUAUGCUAAAAGAAUGUAUCAUUUAUAGCUAGCAUAUCAAUAAUUCACCAUAACUUUUUUUGUGUUAAUUCUUUUAUAUAUUAAGGAUUAAUCACAUAUGAAUAGAAGACAAGUAGGUAACAAUCUGCGUCAUUAGAUCUUUUUUUUAAUAGCAAAACCAAUUAUCGUAAACAUAAUAUUUAUGUACUUAGGAGACAUGACAUUCUUGUGCAUGACCCUUUGAACUCUAUGUAAAAAAUCAACAACAUCUGGUGCUAGGAAACCAAAACUAUCAAUAGCAAAUGGUAUAAAAACAUGUUGAUUGUGAGAACAAGCUUUCUCAUGUUUGACUAUUUUACUUGAUGCAACUUUUACGGUUGUCUGUCUUCCCAAAAAGCCCCGACUCCUAAUCCCACAAGUGGGGAAACUCCGGUCAAAUUCACACAUGCAUGUUUUCCUCCUAUCUAUCAAGUGUGUCAGUCAGGAAGUUCACAGGCGUCUCCUUCCUCACCGAUACUCUCGCCCACCUGAAUAUAUAAAAAAUGACAUCCUUAACAAAGUCAUAUCUCUACUUAAUUAAAGCUAGUAAGCUUCUUACAAUGGGUUGCAUUUAGUAUGCACAAAUGAUAGAUUUGUGCACCAUGCACAAUUUUCCCAUGGAAGGACAGCUGACGGUAAUUUACCUGCUGGAUUAUUUUAAUGAAACAUAUUAUAUUGUAAAAUAUUCAUUUAUUGUUUCUGUUGCUCACACCCCCCUAAAAAACAACUAGUUAUCAGCAAUAACUUGUACACCCCCUACUAAAAUUGAAACAUGGAGAGUAGUAAUUCAACUCUUUUCACUAGUGACACACCAGAAUAUAUCAUUUUUAGCUUUGUUUCCCUUCUCCUUCAUGCUUAACAUUCUUCUUCAUCUCCAUAGCCACCCAAAUUUUUGACAUUUCCAGACAUCCUUUCUCCUUUGUGCUUAACUUAAAGUUCUUCUUCAUUAACAAAAUUGUUCAACAUUAUUUCAGUCUCGUUUAUUGAUCUGGAGUUUUCUGCUUAGUUUGGUUUAUAGAUCUUGAUUCAUUUACGUUUUAAAGGUAUGAAUAAAAUUUAGUUUAUCAUUUUAAAUGUUUUAUUAUGCUAUAUGGUUGGGUGUUGUAUAGUAUUGUUGUUGACUAAUAAAAGAGUGUUAGAUAGCAUAACCGAAAGAAUAAAUUAUUAUUGUCUUAGUAAGUUUUUGGUAAAUGAAAGUGAGUAAGAAGCCAACAAUGGUGAUUUGUUGAUUUUUUUUUAUUUUCUGGUAUAGUGGACGGUCGUGCUUAUUUAUUGCACGACCGUGCCUAAACUCACUGGUGAUUUGUUGGUUUUAAAGUUUUUAUCACGAACACGGUCGUGCUUAAUAUUGACACGGUUGUGCUUGUCAUAAUGGAAGUAAAUAUGGAUGGUUUAGGGUAGUUUUUAUGAGAUAGAUUUUGAACUGCAUACAUAGCACGAUCGUGUGUAUUAUAAGCACGGUCGUGCUGAUAAUACUGAUUUAAGAAAAAUUGUUGGUCAUAUGGAAGCACGGUCAUGCUUUGUUUAACACGAUCGUGUCAGUAUGCACUGGCACAUAUUUUCAGUUGAAGUGGAUGUUGCACGACCGUGUGUAACAUUGGCACGAUCGUGCUGACUGCUUUACACACAUUUGAAGCUUGAACAUGAUCUAGUUGUAACACAAUAUUAAAUGAUUCAUGUUUACUUCCAUUAUAUAUCACAAACAAGUAUGAAUUGUUUAGAAUAGUAAACCAACACAAUCAUAGAUUAUGACAACGGCAAAGCUUUAUAUGUAAUCUCAUACAUUACCAAUUAAAUUACGAACCCACACACAUAGAUAGAUAGGUAACAUUGUAAUUAAUAUUACAAAAGCAUUGUUCACAGUGAAACUUAAACCAAAUUAUAUAGAAAUAAAAGAGUACUUUGUUAAAAGUGCAUUACUAUUACAACUCUCGCAAGAGCAUUUUCAAAUUGAAACCAACAAAACAGUUUUAGAGUAGACGUUAAAUUAAAUAAAAGAAAGACACGAUUGUUGCCAAACCAAACAGAUCCAAGAAGCAAUAGCCUAUAUCUCCCAUCAUUACAAUCCACCGGGAGGUUGGUUAAUCAAUGUUAAGGCGCUGCAUCAUUAGGUCAAGAAUACAUCCUUGCCUUUGCUGUUCCUGCCUGAUCUGUUGAACAUCAGACCUUGUACCUUCAACCUUAGUCAUCAUCCUUGCACGCCACUCUUGGUCAUCUUGAACCUGCCUUUGCUGCCAUAGUCUCAUCUCUUGAAAAUCGGACCUUGUCGCUUGAACCUCAGCCUCUAUCCUUGUACGCCAUUCCUGGUCAUCUUGAACCACCGGGUGUGGUUGAUGUUCCACUUGGUCAGCAGCCGGUGCGUCGUCUUCAAGAUGCUGCUCUUCUGCAACUUCUGGAUCUAAAUCAGAAUAAAUCCAAUUUGCUGGAUUGGAUGUGUCGGUCCUCUCUGGAUUUGGCAAUAGAAACGCGUCUUGUUUAUCAACCCUCAAUUGAAAUUAUUCUCUCCUCCCGCCACUUACAUCCUUAAUCAUUUUCAUCUGAAUUAGUGUCUCAAUCUCAAUUCCCUUGUAAUCCUUCAUUGGAGGUUGGUCAGAAUAAUAUUUUAUUCCUAACUUCCUUACAAUGUAAUCGAUUGGCCCCCCGACCACAAUAAGACCAGCCUCCUGUGUUGUAACAUAUGCCAUAUGGCUUAAAAGAUAGUAUCCCGUGUCUACCUGACACUUGUUAACCAUAGCCCAUAAAAAGAAAAGUUCAUCGGUCCUAACUGUAACCGUUUCCUUCCGACCAAAUAAGCUGCAAGCCAUAACCCUGUGAAUGUAGCGGAAAACAGGGUUGUGGAUUGAACUAGCUUUAGCAGAUCUAGCCACAAAUUUUGUCCUCCCAGAGAUUUUAAGCCAAAAUUCAUCAGAGUCAUAAUUAUCAGGCCUAGUAUUUAGGUUACGAGAAUCUUGGAUGAAUCCCGUGGCUGGGAAACCCAUCCGUUCGUUAAACUCAGGUAGGGUCAUGCUAAACUCUAUGUUAUUCAAGCUAAAUGACACAGUGUGUUGUGGUUCAUCGAUAUUCAAUUUAUCUUUGGUAAAACACAACGUACUAAGGAAUUCUAGGGUAGUGUGUAUAUAUGUGGAGUGCAUAUGCUCUAAUAAUCUCUCCAAUCCUAUGUUUUUAGCCAGAAGUCUAACAUUUUCUAUCAUACCUAAUGUAUUUAACGUUGUUUUAUCGGGAUACCUGCUGAAUGCAAUUCCCCUUGCAGCGAGUUUGUUGUACCUCUCCCUUUCCUCCGAUUUCUUGAGGAUAAUCCCAAGCUCAUUAGUCUUACCCUUCUUCUUCCUUCCGUCCGAAGAGCCAGCAUCAUCAACAACUUUUUUCCUCUUUAAAUCAGAUGAAGCGUCAUCAACACCUUCUUUUCUCUUGCUCGCCAUUUUUUAAAUUCUCAAAAGGGUACAAAAUAUGGGUUUUGAAGAUUGUUGGGUUUUGACCUUAAAUUUUGGUUGUGGAAAGGUGAAUUUAUGUUGGGUUUAGUGUUUGGGGAUGAGGAUUUGUGUUUGGGUCUUGUUUAAUCUUCAAUUUCGUUGGUUUUGAGUUAGGUUUUUUGACCACACGAAUUUGGGAAUUUAUAUGAUGAUUGGAUGAGUUUUGUGGAGGUUUGGAAAUGAAUGUGGCAAACUUGGUGGUUGAUGUUGUUUUUGUUAAGAUUUAUUGAAGUUUUGAGAAGUAAAAACUGAGAUUGGGUUGGGAAAUAAGUUGAUUGAUAGGUUAAUGGAGGUUUAGGUUUUGAGAGAAUUUGAAAGAGUGUUUGUUUGAAUGAAGAGCGGUUUGGGUGGGAACUGAUAAAGUAACAUCGAGCACGACCGUGUUCGUUAAUGACACGGUCGUGUCAUUAUUGAAUGAUAUUUUAAAAAAAAAGUGUUGGAUCUAGGAAUUGAACCCAAACCCUCCACCUCGCAAGCACACAUUCUUAACCAAUAAGCCACAUGGGGCGCGUUCGAUAAGUAAUUAAGUUCACAUGUAUAUAUUACUUAUUAGGCCGUUUUUUAAUUUUUUUUUUCUUCUUCUUUUAGUCUAAUAGAGUAAAUGAGUAGUUUUUCGUCACAAAAACGAAUUGACAUUAACCUAUAAUACAUUGUUUUGAAAAAAUAAGCAGUGCACGAUCGUGUUGCAUAUUAACACGGUCAUGCAAGGUUUCACCAUAAAUAUCCAUGUUAACACUCCCAACAACACCUUCAAGCAGGCAUUGUCCUUCAAUUGAUAUUAAAGUUAGAGAAUUGUUGUUCCCACAUUUGGCAUUGUCCUUAAAUUUGAAAAGUGAAUAAAUAAGAUAAUUAUUGUUCCAUUGAAAACAAAAUAUAUGUUAUCACAUUACAUUGCAUUAGACAUUACAUUAUAUUCCGAAAUUUACAUUUCAACUGCAACAAUCAUCUUACCACUGGGCAAAUUCAAACUUGCUAAGCAGCAGGACUCCAGUAUUCGAUCAGGAUCUUGAACGGUGGUAUUCAAGUGUCAAAAGAAUGAGGUGCAUUCCUUGACACUUGAAUAUCAACGUUCAAGAUGCUGAUCGAAUAUUGGGGUCCUGCUGAUUAGCAAGUUUGAAUUGCCCCAUCCAGCGUAAGACAAUUGUUGCAGUUGGAAUGUGCAUUUCAACCACAACAAUUGUGUUACCUUUGAAUGGGAUAAAUUCAAACUUGGAAAACAACAGGACUCAAGCACUUCGCCAAGCACUUCAUGUUUUCCCUUUGAAAAGAAUAAAUUUUUGUUAGGCUUGCUUUAGAUGAUGGUAUUCAAGUGCCACCGAAUUGAGGUUCAAUCCUUGACACUUAAUACCUUCAUCUAAACCAGCAUAACAAGAAUUUGAUAUUUUCAAAGGAGAAACAUGAGGUGCUUGCGAAAUGCUCGAGUCCUGUUGUUUGACAAGUUUGAAUUACCCCAUUCAAAGGAAGACAAUUGUUGUAGUUGGAAUGCACCUUACCCUAACUAAUGACGAUUUUAUGGCGGAAUCAAACUUUUGAUGAUAUCUUAAGUUGAUCUAAGCAACUUCACCCGCAUACCAAACGUGUUCCACCAUCGUUGUGUCUCUGAGCUUCUCCCCCGUUGAAUUGCGUAUGAACGUUGAUCCACCCGGCCAUUGUUUUAAAUCUACACAAUAAGAAACAAAAAACAAUCAAUAAAAAACUUAUUCAAACAUUUCGUCAAACACUUGAUGUGCACGUAAUACAUUGACUCUUAAAUUCAUAAAAAUAACUCUAAAAUUAUAAAUGAUAUAGUCUUCUUACUAAAAUAAAAUAAAAAAUUAGUCAUGUAAAUCUACUCUAAAACUAACAUCUAUCCUAAAAAUUAAUUAUAACAUGUAAAACUAACAUCUAUCCUAAAAAAAUUAGUCUUCUUAAAGUUUAUUUGUUUUUUUCAUUAUACGUUUCACUUCAUCAAAAUACUAAAAAUGUUGAAGGAAAAAGAAAAUCAUAUCUAUCACACUAAACUUAUUCACACCUUGUAGAGUUUGUAGGUGUUCAAGUUUUUGAGAGAGUAUUCUUUCCUUCAAAAAAAAGGGAGUACUGCUUAUAGAGUUUAGAGAGAAAGUAUUUUGGGUAGAGUAUUUUCUUCCACUAAAGUCUCAAAGGGUGUGAUUGAAACUAUUUAUAGAAAUAUUGUACUACUAUUUUCCAAAAUGACAUAAAUAAAUUGUUACUUUAUAAUAUAGGUUAAAGGUUUUUAUUGAUUGGAUAGCACAUUCAUUUGCUUUUUGAAUACUUUUCAUGUUGGCAUGCAUGUGUCUUUCAACUUCAAUCUCAGAGAUUCACAUUCAUUUGCUUUUUGAAUGCUUUUGAUGUUGGCAUGCAUAUGUCUUUCAAGUUCAAUCUCAGAGAUUCACAUUCAUUUGCUUUUUGAAUGCUUUUCAUGUUGGCAUGCAUAUGUCUUUCAACUUCAAUCUCAGAGAUUCCCUAAAUUGGAUGGUCCCUCACUCAACCAAUUUUUUAACAAACAGUACCCCACAUGUGUUGUCCUAUUGUCAUUGGUAAUAUAUAUUAAAAACUUUAGAUAAACAAAAAAAAUAAAAAAACAUUGUCCUGAAAUUUAUGCACGGUCGUGCGUUCAUAUGACACGAUCGUGCAUAUAUUCACUGGAAUCAAACAUUAUAACUCCUGGUUAUUAAACACGACCGUGCAUUAAAAUGACACGACCGUGCCAAACAUCAAUGGUCCCCAAAAUGAGAAUUCCUGCGAAAAUAAAAAAGAAUAAAAAAAAAAGGUUUUUGGUCGUGGGAAUCGAACCCAACCCCUCCACCUCCUAAGGACAUAUUCGUUACCAAUUAGCUACAUGGGGCGCGUUCAUUAAGUUUUCAACUUCACCUGUGUAUAUCCUUACAAAAGGAGACAUCCUGUCAAAAUGAAAAAGAAUAACAAAAAAAAAAAGGAGGGGUUUUCGAUGGUGGGAAUCGAACCCAACCCCUCCACCUCCUAAGGACAUAUUCAUUACCAAUUAGCCACAUAGGGCGCGUUCGUUAAGUUUUCAACUUCACCUGUCUAUAUCCUUAAAAAAGGAGACAUCCUGUCAAAAUGAAAAAGAAUAACAAAAAAAAAGGAGGGGUUUUCGAUGGUGGGAAUCAAACCCAAACCCUCCACCUCCUAAGGACACAUUCUUUACCAAUUAGCCACAUGGGGCGCGUUCGAUAAUUUUUCAACUUCACCUGUAUAUAACUUUUACUAUGGCAUCAUUUAAUAUUGGGGUUUGGUAGAACACACCCACUUGUUUUUGUUAGAAGGUGUGUUAUAGCAACAUACACCUUAAGGUGUAUUUAUUAACUUUUUAGUUAUAACUUGCUAAAAUACUCCUACAUAAAAACGGUUGGGUGUGUUCUAGCAAAUCCCUUUAAUAUUAAUUUCAUUUAUAACAUUUAACAUUAUAAAUGAAAUUAUUGAAUAAGAAUCCUUUAUAUUUAAACUUAAUUAAGUUCAUUUUUAAUCAUACCUAAUCUCAUUUAAUAUAAUCAUUUAUAACAAAAUAAUUAAAUCUUUUAAUCAUUAAUGUUCUAAUCAUUAUAUCAUUAAUGAUUUCUCAACAACACACAAAACCACACCUUUUCCCCCAAAUCAUUUUCACGUGUUCAUUAUUCUCAACCUUCUUGUUAUUCUACUUCAUUCUUCUUCUUCAUCGAAGCACUAGCACUAGCAUUCUCAACCUGUCCAGAUCUACACUAAGUAUAAGGUAAUUAACCUCCAUUUCUUCUAUCUCUUUUACUUAAUUUCAUGCAUGCAUUUGGAUGCUAUUUAUUGAAUGUUGAAAUAGCUAAAUUAUUAUAUUCAUAAUGAUUGUUGGCUUAUUUUUGUUAUAGUUAUUCUUAAGAGUAUGAAUGAAUGUCUGAUUUGUUGGGUGUUCUUUGUCCUGCAUGUUUGUUAAAUGGAAAAGGGGCUUCUCCUUAAUUGCUAUUAGGAAAUGUAAAAUACCACUAUUUUGGUUUUUUUGGUUGCUUAUCAAUCUUGUGUUAGUAUGUAAAUGAACCCAUAACCUUUACCAUAGUCAAAAUAUAAGUGGGUUUUUAAUUGUUGUUACUAAUACUAAUAUAUUUGUAUAAUUAAUCCAUGAAAAUUGUUACUACUACCCUUUAGAAUUUAACUAGUAAUUUCAUUUUUUUUGUUUUCAACAGGAAGAGAAAUUUUGAAAAAUGGCUUCUAAGGGAAAGGGUGUUCAUGUUGGCGGCACUUCUUGCGGAACGAAGAAACAGGGUAAACUAAAUGAGAGGGGACUUAUUCUAAACAAAUCUGAGAGGGAAAGGUACAAAAUGCUUUUGAACAGAGACAUUGUACCAAAUAGGUAUCCCGAUUCAACAGCUUUACAGGCAUUGGGUAUAGACGACAAUGUCACAACAUUAAUUAGUAACAUUGGCUGGAAAUAUUUCGUGGGGGAGACGCACUUCACCUUCGAAACGAGUACAUUUGAAUUUUUGAGUACAGUCAAUUUUAAUCAUGAUACACACAAUACCACACACCCAAACCACACUGUUUCAUUUAGUUUCGGCAACGUGGAAUACAACAUGUCCCUCACCGAAUUUAGUGACAUAAUGGGAUUUGAAAGCACGGGGGUCAUUCAUGUAUCCCGUAACCAUGAUGCCAUGCACCGAGGAUAUGACAAACAUGGGUUUUUGUUUCAAAUAACAGGCCGAAAACGUUAUGAAUGUAAAACUGCCAAGGCCAGCAUGAUACAAAACCCAGUUUUCCGAUACUUGCAUAGAGUAAUGGCAUGCACCAUUUUCGGUAGGCCGGAAACUGCAACAGUGAGGUCUGAUGAGCUAUUCCUUCUAUGGGCUAUGGUUCAUAAAUGUCCUGUAAACACGGCCUAUUACUUAUUAGACCAUCUGACAUAUGUGGCGGAACAACCCAAAGGUAAGAUAGUGGCGGAGGGGUUGGUAAGUUUCAUAGCUUGGAAGCUGCGAGCAAGAAGUGCAACACAUGAAAUUGGAAUUGAUGGAAACUAUACCAUUGAUAUUGAUUUCUGUAAACAGAUACAUAUGGUAAGGGAUCUAGAUGGGAACAAUAUGAAUUUUAUAUUGUUGGUAUUCGGUGAAGAUUCAAUCUUGUUGCCAGAUACAUCGAGAACUGACGUAACAAUUCCGGAAAAUUGGCUUUAUAUAGAUUUAGAUUCCCGGGUACCUAAAGAGGGGCCUGCCAAAGACGAAGAAAUGGGUGAUUACCGGGAGGAUAAACAACCAACGGAGGGUUCAAAAGAUGACAAUGAUUGGCGUCAAAGGAUGGAGGCGAAGGUUGACAGAACGUAUGAGGAGGUUGCACUCGUCAAACAUAUGCUUGCAGCAACAAUGCGACAACUCAACAUCCAAUAUCCCCCCCCCCCCCCCCCCCCUAGUCCAUGAUAAUAAAGUUACACCUAUUCAAGUUUAUUGCUUUGUUUUGGCUGCAUUUUGAAUGUACUCCUUUAAGAGCUUUUCAAAUUUCCAUAGGGUAUGUUAUGAACAAUGAUCCGAUUAUAAUUAUGGUGUAAAUUAUAUUUGAUCUUUAACUUGUUUGCAUGCUAACAUAACACAUUGUUUUUUUUUGUACUAAUGAUGGUUGUUGAAACUGGAUAAUGCCAGAAAAUGCACGACCGUGCCAAAUUCACGCACGACCGUGCACGUAACCAAUACAGGAAAAAACCCUACCUGAUAGAUACACACGACCGUGCGUUUAACAUGCAGGGGCGUGGGUUUUUAAAAAGACAUUUACAUAACAAAUUCCAGUAAGUUACGGCACGACCGUUUCAACUAAUAGCACGGUCGUGCGACAUCAAUUAUACUACAAACCCAUGAAUAACACACUUUAAGCACGACCUUUUCAAACCAUAGCACGGUCGUGUUACUACAAAUCCUUCCUUUUAAAAAUAAUUAACAAAAUACUUAUUUCAUUCAGUACAAUACAAAAUUGGCAAAUUCUAUGGUACACCAAUGAAUUUGGGUGUAUCGGUACACCAAGUUGUAAAAUUAAUAAUAAUUCAGUUGUUUUUUUGAAGAAAAAUAAUAAAUUUUCUAUCAUUGACAACUAAGAUAAUUAAAUUUUAUUUACCAAAAUCUUUGACGAAAUAAAAAUAAAUUUUUAAGAAUUUUUAUUACUCAUAACAAUGAAUAUUGAUAACUAAGAUACUUUUUUAUUUCAUUAAAGUGAUCGUUAAUUUAUAAAUUUUGUGCAACAAGAGUACCGGUACACUCAAAAUUGUGGGUGUACCGUUGAAGUUCCCUACGAAAUUAUUAAUUUCCUGAUAAAAUUAAAUCUAAUAUUUUCUUAUUUCAAUAUCAACGGUAUAUUCAUCGUUGACUUACAAUAUAAAUAAAUAUUAUUAUUAUUAUAUUACAACAACAAAACAUAUUUUAUAUUUUAUAUUUAAACAUUCAUCAUUUAUUCAAUUUCUCAUAUAAUUUAAUUCAUUUUCAGAUUUUAUUUCUAAUUAAGUUAUUCACCCAACACUUUAGUCUCCUUUUCUCCCUCCUUCCUUCACUUCAUCUCACAUUGAAGUACCAUUAACAUACAACACCCUCUAUUGAAGUACAAAUUUUCAGAAAUUGUUAGUCACCAUCAACCUAAACAUUAAGUUAAAUUUCAGCUUCCUCAACAACAUUGUUCAAUUUUAUUUCACAUUUCAUUACAUUUUGGAGAUUGCAACUUAGUUUGGUUUCUAGAUCUACAUUUAUUAAAGUUGUUGGUUCAUUUAUUAAAUCUUUAUAGUUGAAGGUAUGUAUAAGCUUGGUAGAUAUGAUGAAGUAUUGCUGUUGAAUACUAGUCUUAGGUUUCAUACCUGAAGUCCUUGUAAUAGUAUACCCAACCUUAUUUUCAUUCCGUGUUUGGCUAUCCAAGUGAUUGUGUCUAAUUCAAUUUAUGUAUGCAUUAGGAACAUCAAAAUGGAUAUGAGUGAAAUUCUUGAAAUUUUACAAGUUUCAAAUGUGGGCAACAUUACCGGGGAAGGCAACAUAGGUGAAGAAGGUUCAGAGGUAUGUGAUAGUGAUUACGUUGUUGUAUAAAAUAUUAUACAAGUUGCAUAUAAUAGGGAAAAGCGUAUGGUAAUUACGAUCGUUUGUUUUUUCAAUUACUAAGUUAUUUACCAUGUUAUAUUCUACAGGACUUGGAUAGUGGCUCUUGUUCGGAGAGUGUUGUGUGUUCCUCGGAUGAUGAAACGGAAGACACGUUCAAUUCAAUGUAUGAGUGCAGUUUUGAUGAUGAAUUUGCGGUCGAUUGCACGACUGACUUUGAGAAAAUCAAUUUCAAGGAAUUAACCUACGAUGAAAUUAUGAUGUACCAUUUUCCGGAUCGUGUAGUUGCAUUCAAGUUUUACAAUAUGUACGGUUGUGCGCAUGGAUUUGCUGGUAGAAGAAGCCGCGUUGUUAAGAACAAGGAUGGCGAUGUUAUUCAACGAUCGUUUUUUUGCCAUAGAGAAGGUCUCCGGGAUGCAAGGAAUCUCAAUACUCGUGAAAGAAAAAGAGAGCACAAGCCAACUACUAGGUGUGGAUGUAUGGCAAAAAUUCAAGUACACGUUGAUGAUGGUAGUAAUCGGUGGUACAUAAAAAUGUUUGACGAUAUUCAUAAUCACACAUUUUUGGAUGAGAAGUAUGAGGGGAUGCUACCUGCACAUAGAAAGAUGAGUGAUUAUGACAAAUUUCAAAUGAAAGCAAUGAGAAAAGUUGGCAUUCCUACGUCACGUAUUUAUGGUUUUUUUGCCUCACAAGCUGGUGGAUUCAAAAAUCUUGGAUAUUCAAAAAGGACCAUGUACAAUGAGCAAUUCAAGGAGAGAGAGAGGAAGACAUCUGAUGCAGAUGAAGCGGUUGAAUUUUUGAAGGAAUUGUCUAGGACGGACGAUAUGAUGUACUGGAGGCACACUGUGAAUGAGGACGGAACACUUCAACAUUUAUUUUGGUGUGAUGGUGUUAGCCGUAUGGACUACAAGGUGUUUGGAGAUGUUUUGGCAUUUGAUGCUACUUAUCGGAAAAUUAGAUAUAAUACACCGUUAGUUAUUUUUUCCGGCGUAAAUCAUCACAAUCAAAGUGUAAUAUUCGGCCGUGCAAUUGUUGGUUAUGAAACUGAGGUAAGUUACGUGUGGCUCUUGCAACAAUUUCUUGAGGCAAUGGACGGAAAGGCAUCGGUGUCGGUUAUAACCGACGGAGAUUUAUCCAUGAGAAAUGCUAUCAGAAGUGUAAUUCCACAUGCUUAUCAUCGUUUGUAUGCCUGGCACUUGGCAAGAAAUGCAUCAAGCAAUAUCAAAAAUCCAAAAUUUGUCCCAAAGUUCAAACAAUGUAUGUUUGGUGAUUUUGAUAUCCAAGAGUUUGAAAGUAGCUGGGUGAAUUUGGUUGCUGAAUUUGAGUUGGAAAAUAACAGGUGGAUUCAUGAGCUCUAUGAGAAGCGGCAUCAAUGGUCAACUGCCCACAUUCGGGGUACUUUCUAUGUUGGGUUUAGAACAACCUCAAGGUGUGAGGGGCUUCAUUCUGAAUUUGGAAAAUAUGUUACCGUGUUGUCAAAUCUGGUGGAUUUUUUAAAUCAUUUUAUCCGGUGGCUGAGUUACGUCAGAUACAGAGAAAUAGAGGCGGAUUAUGCAUCUUCCAUUGGUGAAACCGUUCUACAAACCCAACAUAAAAGUUUAGAGAGCUCAGCAGCAAAAAACUAUACAAGGUCAGUUUUCAAACUAUUUAGGCCUGUAUUGGAGAGAGCUUGUCGUUGUAAAAUCGAAGGAACUUUCUACAACGGUUCCAUUUUUCAUUAUAUUGUUUUCAAAUACCCUAGAGAUGACAUCCAUUGGACUGUUUCAUAUUGCCAAGAGCGAUUAACAUUUGAAUGCUCUUGCAAGAGAUUGGAGACAUAUGGUGUUCCAUGUGAACAUAUCGUAGCUGUUUUAGUGAAAAUGAACAUAAGAAAAUUGCCGGAAUCUGUUGUGUUGGAACGAUGGACCAGACGUGCUAAAGAUGUAAUCAAUGCCGAAAAUGGUAAUAGUUCAACUCACCGGGAUCCAGCAUUUGUAACUACGUAUGUUAUGUUUCUAGAGCGUUGCAAGAGGAUGGCAAAUGCAGUGUUAAAGUGUGGCAAUCCAAACUAUAUACACAAAACCAUGGAAAUGGUUGAACAACACACUGAUAAAUUGGAAUCAUACAACAGGGGUGAAGUUGAUGAGAUGUUUGAUAGGUUUCCGGAGACAGGAACAAGUUUAGGUAAUCCGCAGCGCCUCAGAAAAAGAGGUGGAGCAGCACCCGGUUCUUCAACUAGACGUGCAACUGCGGAAUAAAAACGGAGUACGCCUAAAUGUGGAAUAUGUGGCGGAAAGGGACACAACCGCGUGUCAUGUCGGUUCCGUAACCAAGAAACUCAUUCUUCAACUUCCAAUCAUGAGGAGGAAUUUUAUGAUCAUAAUAACGAUGACUGGAACGUUCCUAUGGUAUGUAUUAAAGUGUUAUUGUAUUAUUUUGAAAUGUCAAUAAUCGUAUCAAUGUUUUAAACUAAUUUAAUAUUUUUUGACAAUGUAGGAUGACUUAAAUUAAAAGUGAUAAGCGAUGGAGGAGAACGAAGUUUGAAGUAUGUUGUUGUGUGUGUUCUUGUUUGAGUUCCAUGAAACUCAAAAGUUGUCAUUUUUAAAAUUAUAACACGCACGGUCGUGUGCAUGAAUGACACGAUCGUGUGAAAAUACACUGGAAUCUAAAACGCGUAGUCGUGUGUAAAGAAACUGGUCCUGAGUAGAUGUUGAAUUUGCAACGCCCGGUCGUGUGUAAGCAUAACAUGGUUGUGUGGACAUUAGUUUAUAUUUCCUUGGUCUAUUUUGGUAUUAUAAGACAUUAGUUUAUUUAGUAAAUAAAUUAAUUUUAAUAUUUAGGCACAGUCUGUCGUAUUCAUUCGAUCGUUUUCAAUUUUUUACUUUUCAAUCAAAUGUACAUUAAACGUGAGGUGAAUUUUCGGACAUAAAAAUAUGAAAUAUUAAUUAAUUGUUCCACAGUAACACUAAAUCUUGUUCAUGAGUAACAUGAUUUUUGUUCAUGAAUCAUAUUACAAUAAUACAGAACAACAAAAUAUAUGGGCCCUUUAGCCAAAACAAAAUAUAUGAUGGCACCCAAAACCAAAAAAUCUUGUCUCAUCUUCGUAUCAGAACACACAAUUGACUCCAAAAAAAUGGUUGGAUUGGAGAUGAGAUAGAUUAGCUACACACAACCAUUAAUCGGUAUCCAGAUCAAUGGGUUUCUUCUCAUUCCUGGCCUUCAAAAAUUCAUCGGUCUUUUUCUGAACUUCAUAGCGGAGGGAAUUUUCAUCCCCAAUCAACAGUUCAGCCGCAGUGUUCAGCCGCACAGAUUUUACGUCCAUCUACAAAUAAAGUGCUUAGUAAAAAGAUUGACAUAAAGAUGGAAUGUGGAAUUAGUUUAGACCAAAUAAUGAUAUAUAAUUAUUAUAUUUUAUAAAACUUACGAUCCUAAGAAAAUUUUCCGGUCUAUAAUAAUGUUCCAUACUUAGCCAGUGCAACACCCAUACUCCGGAGUUUUCACUGCUGCAGUGAUAACAACUAUAUUAUAUCGCACAACAGAAGCACACUAAUUGAUUCAUUAAUUUUAAAAAUUACAAUAUCUUACCUACUACAGCCAUCGAUCAUUAAAUUAGGCCGGACAAUUUCAAACUUUUCAAACUCUUGACUCUUCUUGGGAAAGAUCGUGGAGUAUUCAUCACAAUCCACAAGGCGAUGUAACAACAAUCCCUAAUAUAAAGUGGACUUCAAUGUCAAUGUUUUCGAAUAAUAGCAAGUAUCUAUUUAAAAUAGUUUAUAUGUUAUUUACCAUUCUUCUAAUCUUGUAAUGUCGUUGCUCCUCGGUUAGUCCAGCUGGACAGUUAGAAUCAAGGUGAUACGUUAUUCCGCUUGGAACAUGUACCACCAUCGAAAACCAAUGACCCUCCGCACCCCUCAAUGGGAUAUAUAUCUGUAAUACAAGAUGUCACAGUGGUUAUAGAUUGACAACGAGUAAUCUUUUAAAAAUUUUGAUUUGUAUACUUACAAACUGCACUUUAGCGAAAGGGGCCAUCCAGUCACCACGGUACUUCGCUCUUAUGUGUGGUAACGAUAAUCCAUCCUCGAAAUCAAACUAUUUGUAAACAAAAUAAUAUCCCAUAUUAUGCUACUACUUUGCUUUUUAAAUAACUUAUAAAAAAUUUAACACUAUAGUAGAGAAACUAUAGGCAAACCGCAAAUGAUGGUGGGAGGCACCAAACAGACUGCCUCAAGGUGUGUCUACAUGUUACUCUUGCCGCUGCCAAUGCAAUGACCUUGCAAUGUAUACAUUUUGUAAGUUUACCUAAUGUUCCCAAAAUAACUCAAACUCAAAUUCAAGGUAAUCUGCGUUCUUACCAAUUCAGUUAUAUGUACAUCAGGGAGGAGACAUUGAAGUUCAGACCUUGUAGAUGCUAGACUCAUCGUCAACACAAGUGUCUCGUUAAUCAAAUUAACUUCGGAUGAUUUUUGAAAAAGGAAGGAGCAAACAUGUGCAUUCCUAAGAGCUCGUUUUGUUCUUUCGUCAAGAGCAACAUUCUUGGUGUCAAGAGCAAUUUCCUUUCCCUGCAGUGUAAACCAUGGAUUGUUAUACGCAUGCAAAACACCAGUCAUAUAUAGUUAUCAUCUUACAUAAUCAACAACAGCAUUAGUUGAAUAUUAUUUAUUUUUACCUUGGGUGUAACCCCACCUUUCAUCCUAGCACUUCUUGGAGUAGCUUCUUCCCGCUGUCCUUUUAAUUUCUUCGCCGAUUGACGAAGUUUGGCGCUCUUUUUCGAAGAAUUACUUUGUGUUGGCUUUAGUGUCGCCGAAGGGGUGUGAAAUUUCAAUCUCUUGUGAACACCACUUUCUGGAACCGUAGAUGGUGCAGUUUGGCUAAAAUGUUGAGGCUUUCUUUUGUAGUCGCUCUUUGUGAUGAGAAAACUUUGUUUACCGCUAGUCCUGCCUUUCGGCGUUGUCUCUUCCUCGAGCCAAUGGUCUGGUACGAAAGCUUUUCCCACACUGUUUGAAAAAUUAGUCUUUGAAAAGUUGACAUCAACAUCAUGAUUGUCAAAAGUUUCCAUUCCACCAAAGACACUACUGCUCCUACCAUUAAACACUACUUCUUUAGAUGUUCCCUCGGCAGAUUUAUCACGAACAAAACCUUGAUGAAUAUAUUUGCCGAAAGAUUCACCAACUUUCUCAGUUUCACGACUCAACCCUAAUUCAGCUAACUCCUUCGCAAACCGUUCUUGUUCGGUUGGCACAGGUGGUUCCUUAAAUUCUUCCUCUUCACAGCUUGUUGAUGAACCACGAAUAUUACAAAAACAUUUAGAAUUUGCUAACAUUUCAAAUACCUCAAUAGAGGUUUGAAUCGAAGCAAUGUUGGUCCUCAAUAAGUUGAAGUCCAUCGUUAAUCCCUGUUAUCCCGUAAAUACGUUAGGAAUGUAGUAAUAGUCACGAGAAAGGAAGUCACAAUAACAAAAUGUUAUACCGUUUCAAGUGUAUCUUGUUUCUUCGACACUUCGAUGAGCAGGACUUUCAAGGAGGUCAUCUCUUCCAUGACAUCUUGAAUAGUUGGUUCUUUAUAAGCACCAACAACUUCCUUGUUGGCAAUACAUCCAGAAGUGACAUCUUCCACUUCUAUAUAGUUGUCAUCUCUUUCAUGAAAUAGUUGUUAUCAAUUAAAAAGUUAAAAAACAAAUCAUAUCUAUAUCAUCAACAACACUUGAAAGUUGUAGUGAAAAAAUCAUCAACAAACAUGAAGUAAAAAAAUCAUUACAACAACAUCUCACUUCAUCAAUAUCUAAAACUUCAUCCAUAUACCAAAAAGUUUAUUUCUUUUUUCAAAUAUCUAAAACUUCAUCCAUAUACUAAAAAGUUUAUAUCUUUUUUCAAAUUUCUAAAACUUCAUCAAUAUACUAAAAAGUUUAAGUAAAAACGUCACCCCUAAACAUGAAACUUCAAACAUGACAUCAUCAAACAAAAGCUCAAAACUUGAAAGUUUCUUUGAACUUCAAAUACCUAAAUACCUAAAAGUUCAUUUAUUUUUUUCAUUAUAGUUUCACUUCAUCAAAAUACUAAAAAUCUUGAAGAAAAAAAAAAUCAUAUCUAUCACACUACACUUAUUCACGCAUAGCAACAGCAAAAUACACAAAUAAUAUGAAAAAAUAAGUUAACUCACGGCAGAGCAGAAGGUGUUCCUAUUUGUUGAGGGUUGAGUGCAUGACCAUUUUCUUCCAUUGUAGGUGUUCAAGUUUUUGAGAGAGUAAUCUUUCUUUCAAACAAAAGGGUACUUGCUGAUAGAGUUUACAAAGAAAAUGGUAGAGUAAUUUCUUACACUCAAGUCUCAAAAGGUGUGAUUGAAACUAUUUAGGGAAAGUUUUAUCUUUAUUAAUUUAUAAUAUUGGUGUCAAUCUCCAAUUGGUCCAAAUUGUUAAUAAUUGUAUAUUUAUUUUAAAAUUGUAUACAACCAAUAAUCAGGAAUCAGGACAUAACUUGAUUUUUAAAUAAAUAUGGUGCUAAUAUUUUCCAAAAAUUACAUAAAUAAAUCAUGACAUUGUAACAUAAAAACAAAAAAAAGGUGGUUAACGGUGUCAUACCUAUUUUUUCCAUUGGGAACGAAAAUUUGACUUCUUAUAAGAUUUCCGCGGCCAUCCCCGAAUCCAUUCUCUUCAUGUGCACUCCAGCAUUUAUAACGAUUGUAAGAUGAUAGCAGGAUUAAAAUGUCACAUGAAUUUUCUCUACAAAAUACAAUUGAAAGCAUGAUUAUUAUGUAAGAAAUUUCUUCUCUAUGCAAGACAAUUUAUCAAACAAAUUGUAAAAUAAAACUUUCUUCUCUAUUACAGUCUACUAAUUUUUUAAUAUUUUUGAAUAACUUGUCUGUUAUUUUAUUUCUUUAUUUUUUACUCUUAUAUUAAGACAGAAAUUUGUUUAUUUUUUUAAUUAAAACAAUCAAUUAGUCUUCUCUUCUUUUGCUUAUGGUACAACAUUUAUAUUAAUUUAGAAAAAAAUCACCACAACUGGCAUAGCUGUUACUAGCUGUUAAUUUUGCUAAAAAAUCAACCAAAACACUCAACCCCCAUCACAGCUAGCUAGUAAAGUGUACAAAUCUGAUAGCAAAGCAAUUAUCCAGCAGACAAAAGAGUUCCCUCUAAAACUUUUAUUUUCAUAGCUUAAAUUUGUUUGACAGCCUUGCAACAUAAAAUAAUUCAUAUAUAGUUGGAUAAUUCCUUAACCUCCAUUAAACAUAAUCAAAUACAAGAUUAAACAUACUUAACUAACUAAAAACCUAAACUAAAUACGGAAGAAAGUACAAAUAAAUUGACCUGAACAUCACGCACGACCGUGUUUUAUUAUGACACGGUCGUGCGCAAAUUCACUGGCUUCAAUCCUUCUUUUUGUUCUGAAUACACACACGAUCGUGCAUAAUAUAGACACGACCGUGUUUCACUUCCCUUCUCCCAUUCCAUCUUCAGAACAACAUGAACCAAAUAAUUCUUCUCAAGUUUUAAGGAAUACCAGCCAACCAAGCAUGAACAACAUCAUGAGCACAACCAAUUUCAGCUUCCACAAUGAACUAUUUGACCAUCCUACCUCUUCCUUCAGCAAAGAUACCUCAUCAUCUAGACUUUCUUUUACUAAAAACAACUCCUCCAUGACAAUCUUCUUACAAAUGGCAAUUUCCAGAUCCACAUUUUUUUUCACUUCAAGCAAAUUUUAUUUGUUUUCCUCGUCGGCCAAAUGCACUUGAGCUUCUAAGAUUUUACUCAUUUUUAAAAUCUCCACCCCAAAUUCCUUCUUCACAGUGUCGAUCUCUUCCUCCAUUACUUUUUUCAUCUCAGCCAACUUACCUUCAAGUUCUUUCUUCAUAGCAUCAAACUUCAAAGCUUGAUCAGCUAGUGCACCAUGCAAUUCAUCAUCAAUCUCCAUCAUUCUACUAUCCACCUUUUGUGUAGUUUCUGUUUCACAUCCAAUAGGUUCACACCAUAGAAAAAAUCCACAAUUUUCUUCUGGUUUCUCGUGCUUGCAACGGUAAAACAACCGAUUACGAUUUUCCUCAGUCAUUGCGACCUUAAUAACAGCUACAUUUCGACAGAAGCAAAACUUCUUGGAAUAUCUAAUCCAACCACCUUUGUUGCUUGAUGAGGCCUUUGAUCCAUUCAUGGUUCACUGAUAAAAUCACAUUUUCAGUUAUCGGCAUAACAAACCAUCUCAAAAAUAAUUCAAUUUCAGAAAUAACUAUUAUAAUUAAAAUUAAAGAACUUCAUUAUCAAACCCCAGAUUCAUUACAAAACAACACAUUAAAAUAAACUGCAAUUUAGAAAAUUUACCCUUUUGUUUAGAUUUCGGUUAAGGAAAAAAUUCAAUUGACACCAGAUCAACAACAUAUAUUCAAAGUAAACUUAUGUAAUUGAAAUUGAAAGUGAAAUUGAAAUCGAAGAAUCACCCAAAUCGAAAUUGAAAAACAACUUUUGUAACCUAUAGAAACUAUGAUUAAAAGGUACACUUACGUUGAAGAGAAGAACAUGCUGAACCUCGGAUGAAGAGAAUAAGUUGGUGAAGCUCGCGUGAGUAGCUUCAAGAAGAAGGUCAGGAAAGAUGAAGAAGAAGGUCUGGUAGUGGUUGUGGUUGGUGCAAAAUCGUAAAUGAAAUAAAUGGAAAGAAAUGGAAAGUGGUUGAGGUAUUUUAUAUAGACCCUAACCCUUCUCAUCUGUUUGGAUUGUUAAAGUAUAAGGUUGAUGAAAUAAAUGGAAAGAAAUUUAUGUAAAAGAAUGAAAUAAGAUCAUUAAAUGUUUGUUUGGUAGUUGAUGGAAAAAAGGUUUAUAUGUUAUGUUUGUUUAUAAAGAAUGUUUGGUUGAAUAGAAAUUGGAUAGAUGUAAAUAUAUUUUUUUACUUAAAAUAUUAAAAUUGUGACUAAUAAAACUAUCUAAUGACUAAUCAAGCUUACAUCUAUAACCCUGAUAACAAUUUUGUUAUAACUAAACUAAUCCAAAGAUUUCAAAACGACUUGUCAAAUGCACAACUGUUACCCUUACUUAAAGAAUAUUGGAAUCAAAGUACUUUGAUGAACGUAUUCAAAGUACUUGGAUAACCAUCCAAUCACUAAUCAAACUAUUGUUAUCGACUAACUAACCUUACAAAUCUAUAUCUACUAAAAACCCUAAACCCUAAUUAUAAUAUUCUUCCACCUAAACUACUUCGAAGAUUUCAAAACGAAUAAUCAAACUCAAAAUUCUUGACCUAACUGAAAGAAUAUUGGAGUCAAACUACCUGCAUGAACGUUCAAUGAGAAAACAAGCUUGCAGAUCUAACCCUAAUCACAAGAUUCUAUGAUCUAAACUACUUCAAAGAUGUUAGAAUAACUAAUCAAACUGAAAUAAUCUUGCAGCGAAAGUACUUGGAACGUUCAAUGACUAAUCAAACUCUUUAUCAACUAAUCAAUAUCUUUACUGACUAAUCAAACUCUUUACCGACUAAUCAAGCUUACAGCUCUCAACCUAAUAACAAUAUUCUUCAACAUAAACAACUUCCAAGAUGUCAUAACAACUAAUCAAAUUCACAACUCUUACUAUAACUGAAAGAUCUUGUAGACAAAGUACUUGGAUGAAUGUUCAAUGACUAAUCAAAUUUUUCACCGACUAAUCAAAUUAACAACUCUCAACCUAAUGACAUGAUUCUUUGUCCUAAACUAUUUCCAAGAUGUCAUAACGACUGAUUAAACUAUUUCCAAGAUGUCAUUUUAAACUAUUUCCUCCAAGUAAACUAGUUACUAAGUUGACUAGUUUAUGACGGGAUACUUCGUCCGAUCGACUUAGCUCCCGGAACUCGAUAUGAGAAAUAUCAAGUUUAUAUAUCCUUUUAGGUCUUAGAAGGUCAUUUUGAACGGUCGGAUUGAUUGUACUUGUUGCUGUUCAGGUCAUAGGCACGUUUAGGUCCUCUGAGUAAACUAGUUACUAAGUUGACUAGUUUAUGACGGGAUACUUCGUCCAAUCGACUUAGCUCCCGGAACUCGAUAUGAGAAAUAUCAAGUUUAUAUCUCCUUUUAGGUCUUAGAAGGUCAUUUUGAACGGUCGACUUAGCUCCCGGAACUCGAUAUGAGAAAUAUCAAGUUUAUAUCUCCUUUUAGGUCUUAGAAGGUCAUUUUCAACGGUCGGAUUGACUGUACUUGUUGCUGUUUAGGUCCUCCGAGUAAACUAGUUACUAAGUUGACUAGUUUAUGACGGGAUACUUCGUCCAAUCGACUUAGCUCCCGGAACUCGAUAUGAGAAAUAUCAAGUUUAUAUCUCCUUUUAGGUCUUAGAAGGUCAUUUUCAACGGUCGGAUUGAUUGUACUUGUUGCUAUUCAGGUGAUAGGCACGUUUAGGUCCUCCGAGUAAACUAGUUACUAAGUUGACUAGUUUAUGACGGGAUAGUUCGUCCGAUCAAACAAGUAACUCUAACCCUAAUGACAAGAUUCUUCGACCUAGACUACUUCUAAGAUUUCAAAACGACUGAUUAAACUCGCAACUCUUACCCCAACUUAAAGAAUAUUGGAGUCAAAGUACGUUCAUGAACGACCAACGACUAAUCAAAGACUUUAUCGAUUAAUCAGGCUUACAAGUAUCACCCUAAUGACAAAUCUAACCCUAAUUCCAAUAUUCUUUCACCUAAACUACUUCAAAGACCUCAAAACGACUGAUCAAACUCACAACUCUAGCCUUAACUUCAAGAAUCUUCAAGUCAGACUAAUUGGAUGAACGAUCACUGACUAAUCAAAGUCUUUAUCGACUAACCAAGACUUCAACUAUAACCCUAAUGACAAGUUUAUUUGACCUAAACUAAUUCAAAGAUUUCAAAACGACUGAUCACACUCUCGUCACCAAAAUAACCUAAACUUGACAUUUUAAAUUUAUUAAUUAAUUAAUCUAUGUAAACGAGGAUUAUCUAAAAUGAUCAUUUUAAUUUAAUUAUGUAAGUCUAAUUAAAACAAUAAAACAAAAUCCAAUUAUUAACUAAAUUUUCUCAGUUUACAACAAAAACUUCUACUAAAUUUUUAUUCUUUUUUUAUUUAAUGUAUAUUUAAUUUAUAAAUAUGAUUUAUCGUAUAUUUAAUUUAUAUUAUGAAUUAAGAAAAAUUGUAGAAUUUUCUAAUACCAUUAAUCCCAAUAGAAAUCGACACACGGUCGUGCACUACCUCGACACGGUCGUGCUCGACCCUUGUUCUAUUCGACCCGGUCGUGCUUAACGUUGGCGCGGUCGUGCCUACGUUAUGCACCUGAUCCUGCUAAGCCCAAUAUAAAGCCCACUAGAAUAAUUGCCAAAAAAAACCAUUUAAAUAAUCAAUUUUAAUCCACGCGUGGGACCCGCCUGCACAAAGACAACUUGAUGGCAGCAGGUCACCUUUCCAGUUUUUCCAACAAAUCCUGACCAUUCGAAUAAAAUAAUAAUAAAUCAAUGGUCCAGAUUUGCUUUCAGGUUGAAAAUGCACAAUUUGUGCACGGUGCACAAAUUGUAUGUUUGUCCAUACCAAACGGUACCCUUACAAUGAGCUGCAUACUCUUGAGAAGUAUUCAAACACGGCUUACGACAAAUAUGACACAAAAACAAAGAAAAAAAGAAAGAGAAAUGAUAUUUGUACAACCAUUAUGUGACAAUUAGACAACUUUCACUCUCAUACUCACAUGAGAUUCUUAUUCCCUCUCUUACUUUUUCUCUCUCCAUUGUUUUUGACUAAGAAGAGAGAAAAUCAAAUCAAAGUUGUCACCAAAAUUGUCAUCAAUUAGAUGUACAAAUAUCACUACUCAAAAAGAAAACCUUGGUUGUAAGAAUCUUGUGGAGGCGGUGCAAGUCAACAGAUUCUACCGUGCCGUAUACUAAGGGUUAACAGGUCACACUUUAUCCACGUGUCAUGUUUUUAUUGGUAGAAUUUCCGUUACCGUAAUUAAACCUCCUAUCGUAUUUUGCUAUAAAACCACCGUUCCUUAGGUUGCAGAGAACAGAAAAAGAGAUUCAUACCAAACCUAACCUAGCACACAACACCGUUCGUUUCAAUUCAAGGUAUCAUCUACUUUUUAUUCUCAUCCCAAUUAACACUUCGAUUAUUAUUAGCUAGUAUCGUUUAUGUCUAAUUUGAAUUUGAUUUAGGUUUUUAGACAUCAAUUAUUAAUUGGAGCUGUUAGAAAUCGAAUUAUAGGGCUUACCGUGUUUUCAUAAGGUAGGUGAUCAAUUUUAUUUUAUUUUGAUUAAAGAUGAUCUUCUGAUCUGUCAACAAGGGGUUAGGUGUACAGAUAAAUUGUUUGAUAUGAAUUAUGUAUUGUAUGAAUUUGAAAUUUCCUUUAAUUAUAUUAGUCUCUGGAUAUUCAUUCAAUUGAUUUAAUUUGAAAUAUUUAUAUAUUAUAUAUAUGAUAGAUUCAUAUAUAUAUAUAUAUAUAUAUAUAUAUAUAUAUAUAUAUAUAUAUAUAUAUAUAUAUAUAUAUAUAUUUUGGAUUAUAUAGAUGAUUGAAUCAUUUGUUUUGGGUGUAGAUGCAAAUAUUCGUCAAGACUCUUACUGGCAAGACCAUCACUCUCGAAGUUGAGAGUUCAGAUACCAUAGACAAUGUUAAGGCAAAAAUUCAAGACAAGGAAGGAAUCCCACCUGACCAGCAGCGUCUGAUUUUUGCUGGCAAGCAGCUGGAGGAUGGGCGUACCCUUGCUGAUUACAACAUCCAAAAGGAGUCCACCCUCCAUUUGGUGCUCCGUCUCCGUGGUGGGAUGCAAAUCUUCGUCAAGACUCUCACUGGAAAGACAAUCACCCUUGAGGUGGAGAGCUCUGAUACUAUUGAUAAUGUCAAAGCCAAGAUUCAGGACAAGGAGGGUAUCCCCCCAGACCAGCAGAGGCUCAUUUUUGCUGGAAAGCAGCUUGAAGAUGGCAGAACUCUUGCCGAUUACAACAUCCAAAAAGAGUCAACUCUUCACCUUGUCUUGCGCCUUCGUGGUGGUAUGCAGAUUUUUGUGAAGACCCUCACCGGAAAAACAAUUACUUUGGAGGUAGAGAGCUCAGAUACUAUUGACAAUGUGAAGGCCAAGAUACAGGACAAGGAGGGUAUCCCCCAGACCAGCAAAGGUUGAUUUUCGCUGGAAAGCAGCUUGAAGAUGGCAGGACAUUGGCUGAUUAUAAUAUCCAGAAGGAAUCCACCCUUCAUCUUGUUCUUCGUUUGAGGGGAGGUAUGCAGAUCUUUGUGAAGACUUUGACAGGAAAGACCAUUACAUUGGAGGUGGAAAGUUCAGACACCAUUGAUAAUGUUAAGGCAAAAAUCCAGGACAAGGAAGGAAUCCCACCAGAUCAACAGAGGUUGAUCUUUGCUGGGAAGCAAUUGGAGGAUGGAAGAACCCUUGCUGACUACAACAUUCAGAAAGAGUCUACUCUUCACCUUGUUUUACGUCUUCGUGGUGGAUUCUAAGUAUGUCAGUGUUGCAAAGCUGUUUUAGGAUGUGUGGAGGCUCUACAGAUCUUUGGUUUUAUGUUUUAGAACUUGGGUCUAUGGUCUGUAACGGCCUUUGAAAAACUAUAGUUUGAUGUGGGUUUAUGUUUGUUUCUGUUGUUUUACUAAAUAAAUGUGGAUAAUUUGCUUUCACUUUGGAAUCAAGUGAUCUUAGUUGUUUUAUCUGAGGUUCCCAAAAUUACCUGCCAUUUGAUUAUAGACAUUCGAGUAUGCAAAUUUCUUGUUAAUAAGGUGACCUUUCGAGUAUGCAAAUUUCUUGAACAAAGUGGGGAAACGCAGAUGUUAUUGACAAUCAAGUUGCAAAUACUAUGUAAUCUUCACAAUCAUCACAACACACAUUACAUGAAGCAUUACAAUAUCGAACUAUUUUCUCAAGGGAAAAACAAAGAAAUGUAAGGGUGAAGUCAACGAGACCCAUAUCAAAGUGCUAAAAUUUGAUUUGAAGCUUGAAAUUUAAAUUGAGUGUUAAAUGUGAAGAGUGAAGAAUAUGUUACGAUUGCUUUGUAUAGGAAUAUGCAUUAAGAAGAUCAACAACUAUUUAAAGCGAUUUACUUAUUUAUUUAGGCAUUAACAUUGCACAUACAUCAUCAUGUCUCUUGCACAAGCAAACAUCACACAAAAGGUAAACAUUACAGACGAGACUUGGUCUAAGUACAGAGCUGAAACAACAGAGUAACUAAAUUUGUUCCGAGUUUAACCAGAGAUAUCAAUGGUCUUCACUUGAGGCUUCUUAACUUCUUCCUUAGGGACAGUGACAGUGAGAAUACCAUUCUCCAUUGCAGCUUUCACUUGAUCCAUUUUCGCAUUCUCUGGUAAUCUAAACCUCCUCAUGAAUUUUCCACUGCUACGCUCCACACGAUGCCAUUGAUCAUUCUUAUCUUCUUUUUCAACGUUCCUCUCACCGCUUAUCUGAAGAACCCUAUCAUCUUCAAUUUCAACCUUCACUUCUUCCUUCUUCAGUCCAGGAAGAUCAGCCUUGAACACAUGUGCUUCUGGGGUCUCCUUCCAAUCGAUCCUGGUGCUCGCAAAAGCAGAAUUCUCCUGAGGGAAUGAAGAAGCAGAAAGUGCAGAAUUGGUUAAAGGAAAAUCCUUGAAGGGGUCCCAAACGUCAAGGGAAAAUGGAUCAAAAGUGUUGCUCCUUCGGCCACCAAAGAAACUUGGAAUCAGCGACAUUGUUCUGCUGUGUUGUGUUUGAUGUGAAUUGAGAAUUCUGAAAAUGAAUGAAAAAUGUGUUUUCUAGUAAAGCAAGAGGGAUUCGCCGAGUAUUUAAAAGAAGUGGAUGAGUAAUCUAGUACGUUCCAGAAAUAUUCUAUAAUUAACGAACUUUCUGGAAAAUAAGAAACAUUGUAGAGUUUCUUCCACAGUCAACUAGAAGUCUCUAGAUCAUGACUUCCUCCACAAAACAUGUAGUAAAAUUAGGCAUAAAUUAUCUCUAGAAAUAAUAUUCAAUUAAAUAUAAGCAAAAAAGUCAGAUCAAUUAAACUUAUCUUUCUUGAAAUUGCGGUGAUUUGACGUCGACGAAAUCGAAGUAAACAAUUACGAAACCAUGAAAGGAGAUAACCUGCCAAACAGUAAUCCAUUAUAUAACAUAAGGCGUGACAAAGUCACUGUCUUUAAGAAUUUAUUCGCCUCAUAAGCGCAUAUCCUCCUAGGAUACAACAUGUUCUUCCCUGAUGUGAUACAGAACAGCUUGCAUCUGAUAAACACAGGAGAUGCAACCCAGAAUUAAAAUAUUUUGGAGGAGAAAAAACUAUAUUUGAGAGAAGAGUUGUUUAGGUUGCUACUAAUCAAAGGUUAGAAAAGAAAAAAGCUUAAAUCCUCUUUUUCUUUCCCGUGAAAAUCAUUUUUCCAAGCAAGCAGUAUCAUUGUAAUGCAAAAAUAAAGCCCUAAUAAUAGCUACUAAAUUGUGAACGUUAUGAAUUAAGUGUAACUGUCUUUGACUCAGUAAAAAAGUAAAUGUGCUGAAAAAAUAAUAUUUAAUUGCAUUAACUUUUGAAAUAAAAUAAAACUCUAAAAUUACAACAAUCCCCCACAUAUUUCAAAAAGUUAAAAUAAAAUGUUAAAUAAAGUUUUUCUUAGGUAUACAUCGUAGAUGUAAUGCAUCGGAACGGUGUAGCAAGCUAUGGAACCCAUCCUAGACUAAUGAGAGUUAACACACAGUGAAUUGGUUUAGCAAGCUAUGGAACCCCAAGACACUUGUUGUAUGCAAGAGGUCUCACAAUCACAUUACACCCCCAUAAUUCUUGCUGUUACGCGGUUGUGCGCUAAUAGGCUGUGCGCGUGCCUGGUAUUCGUGAGUGCUCUAGAGACCCGCCACGGUCUCAUGCAAGCGGCCCCACUUGACACUCAUAUAGGUGAUUCCAUCUAGUGUAUGCUACAACCAUACACCACCCAUAAAGGCUUAUGGUAAUCAUUAAAAGCCUUUAAAGUUUAUCCCUCAAUUUUAUAUUAUUUAGCACAUCUCAUCCAUUAUCAUACACCAUAGGAAAGAGACAACGUUAUAUUAGUGCUCACAGAACUAACAAGUAACUUGUUUUUACCCAUUGAACCUUCUUCAUGGGAUCUCCAAUCACAAAGGUUGGGUUUCCAUUACUUGUCGUUUUCGAGUGGCAGAAUCUCAUUUUCCUAAAUUUCUUCCCAAGGGUUUUUAUAUACGGAUCCGCUAAAUUCACAAAUAUUGACUAAGACGUCUCUAAGUCAAUUAACCUCGUAUUUCAUCAAGUUUAUGAAAAUAAACUUGGAUUACAUAAUAAACUAAUACAAGUCGUUGUCUAUUAAGCGACAACAUGUUCAUCAAUAAGAUAAAUCUACUUAUAGAUUUAUUCUCAUUGGAUUCAUAUCUAUUUGACAUCUUUGUAUUAUUUUAAUACAAAGGUUUAUCCAAUCAGUAAAAAUAUCUAAUAUAUUAUCAAACUAAUUUCCAUAAUAUAUGUCAUCAGGUCUACUUAGAUAAAUACUAAGCGACAACAUCUUCAUAAAGGGGGAAAUAUAUUUAUGAUUAAUUUUAUUAUACAUGUCUACUUGAAAAACUUUCAGGCGACAAUAUCCCCUACAUAAGCCAGAUAUAUUUUUCUAUUCAAGUCUGCUUGAAUUCUUUUUCAAGUGACGAUGCCCCCACAUUCAGGAAAAUAACACAUAGGUAAAUCAAACAUCAUCGUAUUAUUUUACUACAAUGGAUAAUCCACAAUAUUACACCAAAUAUUUUACGGUGUAUCUUAAUAUAUAUAUCUCUUGAGUUUAGCAAGUGCCACAAAAUUAUAUUCAGAUCUACUUAGAUUAUUUCUAAGCGACAAUAUCACACUUGUUUUACUCAUACACAUAUAGGUAUCACAGUGGAUUUCUUAAUAACAUCUUGUUACGGAGUACACUUCCAUCUCUUUUUAAAAUGAAUGUCAUAGUAAGGAUCCAAAUAGACCCCAGAAGAUCAUUUUAUUUUAAUAAUCUUAAAAGAACAAUGCUGCAACGAAUGUUAGAUCGAUCGAGAAGCAAGCUCAAAAUUGCAUGCCCACACAAAAAAUACAUCUCAAAAAAUUUAUCAAAACUAAAGAUGACAUAUCAAUACUAUAUUUUAAUGUAGGUUAACAAGAUAUUCAACUUUAACAUGUAUAUCACAACUCUAUACAUUUUGAAUAAAUUUUUAUAUCACUUUUCAACAACUCAUGCUUGCUUCUAUUUUUUAGGCAUAUAAUAGUACUUCGUAAAAUUCAGUUUUCAACAAGGAUAAAUCAAUGUCUCUACAUCAACCAGAACAAAGAAUAAUACAACAAAGAAGAAUAAGACAUUUUCGAAAACUGGAGUUCAAAAUAAUCAUAAUCAAACAAACAUGUGGUUAAUUAACAUUUUUGCAUCACUUUUCUAUAUGCAUAUUUCAUCACAUUAAGUCUUUUCCAAUUCAAGCAAGACAUCAAUUUUCGACAUCAUUAAAAAUAUUACGCAAGCUUAAACAACCAUGCCUCAAACUAAAGUCACUAUUAAAUGAAAGCUACGAGAGCACAAUUUUGAAAAAUCAUACAAUCAAUUUUUUUUUUUCCCACACAUUCAAUACACUCUCACAACUUAAACAAAUAAAAUCAAGAUUUUUUGAGAUAUUAAAUUAGAAUGUGUACCUGACCCCUUGUGGAUGAUUUCAAAGGGAGACGUGUUUAAAACUUACAACAAAGUAGAUCACCUUGAAUUAACUGAGAUAUUCAACGAACCAUUUGUUACACCAAAAAUUAAUGAUAACGUAUGCACCGUUAAUUCCGUGUACACCAAAUAGUUCACCACGUACAAUUGAAGUUUAGUUUUACAAACAUCUAACAACUGCAACAAAGAUAGUACAUUUAAUUUGUAAACUUGCUUAUUAAUUUAUACUAACAUAGACUAUUACCAAUUAGAGACAUACUAAUUACCAUUUACCAUACUGUUCUUAAAAUAAUUAAGCAUGAUAGGGGACAACAAAAAUAAUCCCAAAACACUUCUACAUUAUAAUAAUAAAUCAACAAUAAUUUAUACAUAACAUAGUUAACAGGAACGUCAAACAUAUAUAUAAUAAUUACUCAAGCAUAAUUGAUCAAUAAGAUUAAGAUUCUUGUCAAAAAAAAUUAGAUUAAGAGGAGGAACAAAACACUGCUUUUAAUUCUCGUCAUUUCCUUUCAUCACCAAAUAGCUCAAUUAACAAAUUUACAACAAAAUUAAUAAUUCUAUGCUAAUAAUAAAUCCUUAAGAUUGUAGUAAAAUUAGGCAUAAAUUAUCUCUAGAAAUAAUAUUCAAUUAAAUAUAAGCAAAAGAGUGAGAUCAAUUAAACUUAUCUUUUUUGAAAUUGCGGUGAUUUGACCUCGACGAAAUCGAAGUAAACAAUCAGAAAACCAUGAAAGGAGAUAACCUGCCAAACAGUAAUCCAUUAUAUAACAUGAGGCGUGACAAAGUCACUGUCCUUAAGGAUUUAUUCGCCUCAUAAGCGCAUAUCCUCCCAGGAUACAACAUGUUCUUCCCUACAUCAGAGGUGACAGAACAACUUAAAUAUGAUAAACACAGGAGAUGCAACCCAGAAUUAAAAUAUUUGGGAAGAGAGAAAACUAUAUUUGAGAGAAGAGUUGUUUAGGUUGCUAAUAAUCAAAGGCUAGAAAAGAAAAAAGCUUAACUCCUCUUUUUCUUUCCUGUGAAAAUCAUUUUUCCAAGCAAGCAGUAUCAUUGUAAUGCAAAAAUAAAGCCUAAAUAAUAGCUACUAAAUUGUGAAUGUUAUGAAUUAAGUUUAACUGUCUUUGACUCAGUAACUCAAUAAAAAAGUAAAUGUGCUGAAAUAAUAAUAUUUAAUUGCAUUAACUUUUGAAAUAAAAUAAAACUCUAAAAUUACAACAAAACCAAUGCCGGUUAAGUUUGGACUUUGCAGCCCAAAAUUGCUUUCCUCUGCAUCAUUAAUAAUUUUUAGGUUUAAAUGCAUUUGAUCCUUUAUCUUCACGAAACUAGUGAUUUUGUGAAAAACCAAUUGUAAUUAGUGCAAUCAAACUUUCAAAGUUUAUCUUAUUUUCAAAUUUAUGUUUUAUGUGGAAAAUAAUUUAGAUGAAUUAACUUCAUGAUUCAAAAACUUCUCAUCCGGUUCGACUACUCUGUUAUCUGGUGGUUUGUCCGUAUGGAUCGAUGAUAUUGCUGUUGUGAAGGUGGAUUUUGUUGUUGCGCUGGUUGUUGUUGUUGUUGCAACGGUGGAUUCAUUAAGGUGUCAUCGAUUGUUGUUGUGGCGAAGGUGGUUGUUGUUGUUGUUUCAAUCGUUAGUUACUGGUUGUUUUUCAAAGGUUGCUGGUUGUUGACAUUUUCCAUCAGCACUUUUAGUCCCUGUCAAAAAUUUAAAUAAAAAGUUUUGGUCCCUAAAAUGCUUAAGAAAAAUGUCACAGGGACUAAAAAGUGUGAUUUUAUUUUGUAGGGACUAAAAACAAAACUGUGAAUAUUUAUAGGAACUAAAAACUUAAUUAACCCUUAUUUAUAUGUUGCUACUUUACGACUCAUAUUCUAACAUUCCUUGUGCUGGUCAGGAUUCAUUGUGAUUUAAUAAAUUUCAUUUUGGCUUCAUCAAACAAAAAUUAGCGUCAAAAAUCAAAGCUAUCACUAAUGAGUCAACUUUUUACCAACCCCUCUUAAUUAACAUAUUUCAAAAGUCAUUUUUUUUUAUCGACUAUGAACAAAAAAUAAAAUAAAGAAUUACUUUUUUCCCUAAAAAAUUAUUAUUUAUCACAGUUUUGUUUUUAGUCCCUAAAAUGAAAAACCAAUAUUAUGUUGAAAUUAUUAUAAAUGCAUUAGUUUUCCCUAAAAUGCAUUAAUGUGAAUUUAUUAUGUUCAAAUUUGUAAUACUUUCAACAUAAAAUUCCAUUCUUAUAUGAAGUAUUUUUUUAUCCUACUUUAACUACCUUUGAAUUAAACUUCAAAUCCAAUAUUAAGGUACCGUUUGGUCAGACUUUUUUUCGGUCUAAAAGCUACUUUAAAACAAAGUUAAAAUAAAACUAUUUAAGAAAAAGGCUAAAGCUGUUUCUUUAUUUUAUUUUUUAGUUCUAAAGUUAUUUUUGAGUUAAAAGCUGUUUGGCAAAAUAUUGUACAAAACUUUGAAUUUAUUAUCCUUUGGUGGUGUCUGGGGUUCGAACCCGGGACCUUGCAUAUAUUUAUGCAUUGUCUAUUGUUAUCAUGGUUUUUGGGUGCCAAGCCAUUAAUUGGACUUGAACCUUUUGACCGUUGAUAUCUCUCUUUUUUCUUGGGAAGGGUAAAAGGAGAAAAACCCUUGAGUUUCCGGAUUCGGGGGUCGUUUUCGCUACGGGAAGGUGUUAGGCACCCGGAGCGAUUAUGGUAUUCCAUAAGAACCGCUCUCCUAAGUUUAUUUCUACGCUUUAGUUUUAUUGCUUAUUUUUGUAAAAAGGAAGGUAUGAUUAGUGAAGAAUGGGGGUGAGAAGAAGUAGAAUUUGAUUUUUUGUUUCGGCUUGGAUGAGUUUUGACUCAUUGCCUACGUACCCUUUUAAGGGAUCAAAACCGUUCGUAGUUCAUUCUCAAAAAUAGUUUUUGUGUUUGUUGGUUGAUUUUAGGUUUGAAAAGAGAUUUUGAAGAAUAGAGAUGAGAGGCCUCAAGGGCAUAAGGUUUGGAAAGUGUGAGGUGGAUUUAGUCAUUUUGCAAAAAUAAAGUCUAAGAAGGGUUAAGAUUCAUUGAAAGUUUUACUUAAGAAAAUAAAAGGGGAAAUAAGGAGUUUUGACUCCAUUUUAUUUUCAAAAAAAAGAUUUUCAAGUGAAGUUAUUUGCAUGUUCUUUUUGGAAAAAAGUUGGAUUUUUAUCUAAGUGUUCAAACCUAAACGCUUAUCUAACCAUACAAUCCUAUGCAUACAUCUAAGGUGAGUGUGUGCGUGUCGGUGCGUCAUAGUGUCCAUAGUCCAUAUUACAAAAAUUGCCUAAAUACAUUCUAUGGCCCCUUUGCCAAGCUACAAACCAAUGAUAACAAAUUACAUUACCAAAUGAAUUAAAACUUGCAAAAAAAAUAAAUGCUAAGCUAAAGAAAGUGGAGAGAGUGGUGGAAUGCUAUGAAAUGUAUGGCACAUGAGAUGAAAUGGUUAGUAAUCAUAAAGCACACAAUAGUAGGAAGUAAUUAAAAGGAAAUGCAUAAAGAUGACAAAGAAAAAGUAAUAAAGUGGUAAUAAACCUAAAAGACAUUUGAUAUGAUACCUAAAGAUGCUAGUGGCCCAUAAUCAUCACAUCAUGGCAAUUUAGAAAGAAAUUUUGUUUCAAGCCAUGACAUGCAAUUAAUGGAGGCAUAUGCAUGCAAAAUAUCACACCAAGUUCAUAGAGAAAUUUGCCACUUUAUUCCUUAAAACUAAACUUGUUGCUUGUAAAACAAGAAAUUCAUAAAAUCAUAUUCAAAAACAGCAAACAAAAACACAUUUCCAGAGGCAUAUUCAUCACCAUAUUAGGCAUCCUUUAUCCAUGUCAUAACAUCAAAAUGUCAAGAACAAAACAUAGCAAAAUGCAUACCAAAAGUGUAAAAACACAUGGAAUUAGUUCAUGCCACUUUAACAUCUUUUUUUAUGCAAGAAACACCAUAGAAAUGCCAAAAAUAUACCAAGAAACAACCAGGAUUUUUAGGAUUUUUUUAUAAAAAAGUGAGCAAGAAACAGGUGCAAGUAGCAAAGAAAUACGGUGCAAAUAGCAAGAAAAACAAAAAAACGUGAAAGAAAACUAAGCCCAAACCCAAAGCCCACACUCAAAACUCAGAUUGCACAGGAGCCACACGAUUGAUCUAGGAUUCUGAAACCCUAGAUCAAACGGCCGGGAACAAGGGGGACUGGACCGGAAAUAAACCGGUCCGGUUCACUGGCUAUAUAAACACAAAGGCUCCGGUUUUUUUCAUUUUCUUCCUCUCCUUCUCUCUCUCCUCUCAUCCUAGUGAGAGAAGCUCCCACUUCUCUCUUCCCUCUCUCGCCGGAAACCUCAAGGAGGAAGAUGAGUCUUCAUCUUCUCCGGUGAAGCUUGUUCUUCCGGCGCGGUGGCCGGCCACCCAAGGGUGGCGGCGCCGCCGCCGGAGAUGAACAAACUUCUCCGUUUUCAAAAAUUUUCACAUUUUUAGAUAUCCUUUUUGGUCGCAAACACGAAUCCGGUACUGGUUUUCUCACACGAGGUCUAAAUCUCUGUAGAUCUACACUUUGGUUCGCGGUUUUGAAAAGAUUUUUCUUGAUUCUUUUUAGUGUUUUAUUGAAUGAAAGUUGCAAAUCUGUGUUUGAUUCGUGUUUGUUACCGUUUCUGAGAAAGAAAGAUGAGUUUCACGUGUUUACCUGUGAUUUUUGACUGGAGAUUUUGAACAAGAUCUUCGGAAAACUUGAUUGUUGGUGCGGUUUGUUGAUUCUCUGGCUUGGAUCCGAAAAUAAAUCGGUUCUUCUCUUUUUCUCUUUGCUGGUCCGAAUCGGUUCUUUCCCUCUUCUUCCUUCAAACCUCUGUGAUCAGCACUCGUAGCUUUUCGCCAUAGGUGAAGAGCUCGUGCUUCGAAUUGCAGAGUCUGCAAUUCAGUGAUGAUGAUUCAAUUGAAUCAGUGAGAAUUGCAGUAACAAAUUAGUUCAAUUUUGUCUGGAUUUUGCGUUCUGGAAGUGGUUUAGGGUUUUUUGCGCCAUUGAUGAAGGCUUCAAGCUUUUUCAGUUUUGAUUUGGUUUUUGAUCUGUAACUGCCAAGAGAGAGAAAUUUCUCUGUGUUUGUUGAUGUGGCCUUCAAUCUCUGGAUUAUGUGGCACUGUGCACUGUAUUUAUAAGCUGACAGAUGUGUAUUUGGCCCAAUAAAGAACUGCCACGUGUCCUAGCUUGCUCACUUGGGCGCUGCUUGCUAUUUUCAUUUAAGGACCAAUCUGCAAAUUGUGAAAUGACAAGGACUGGACUGCAAUUGUAAAACAGACUCAAAAAUAAAAGAGAAUUGGACAAUUUGGACUUAAAUGCAGUUUUAAAAAGUUGAAGGAUUAAAAUGCAAAGUAAAAAUAAAAAAUGAAUUAAAAUAUGUAAUUUGACUAAACGUAAAGCGAAAUAAAAAUAAAAUCGACAAAACGGACUAAAACGAACCAAUGGCCUAAAUGAGGUACUUCAAAGUAACCUCUCUAUGCCAAAAUUUCGUGUGAAAUGACCAAAAUGCCCCUGGGGCUAAAAAUGACCUAAACCAACUCAAAUUGACUCUGACACUGACUCAGAUGCAAGUUUGAAAUGAAUUUAAACAGGGUUUACUGAUGAAAUGUUAAAAAUGAAUUUGAAAAGACUCAGAGACAGUCACAAGGAUGAAAAUGGGUCCCACUGCAGGAAAUGACCAAAAUACCCUUCUGUAUGACUUUUUGCAAAUUUUGAAAUAAACUGUAGAAAAAGCAAUGUAAUGAUUCAGAGACACUUUUGAAUGACUUACAAGACAAGUAAAGACAUUUCGAAAGGUUUUAUGCAAGAAAAACAUAGGUAAAAUUGUGAUUGAAAAAAAACUGCGAGGCAGAGACAAUUUGAACUGUGCAGUUGAAAUUUGAUAAUUGACAAAGUUUGAAAUGAAAUUGGGCCCAGUAUUUUUAGGUCCAAAAACAGGGUAUAACAUCUAUAAAUUAAAAAAACUUUGAAUUCAUUAUGAAUUAACAUAAUAAAUAAAAAAAUGUCUAAAAUAUUUUUUGAAGGGAAAAAAUGUUUAAAAUAUAAAAGAUAUAUUUUUACCAAUACUAUAUUUACUCAAUGACGUUUAUUUUGUGUAACAUGAAUACAAAUUUGUAUCAUCAUAUAAACGACUUGUUAAAUAUUUGAAUAGGAGAAAUAAUUUAAGGAGGCUCAAAUAAUAACAUAAAUAAUAUCAAAGUAGUUUGGAAAAUUAAAAACAAUAAUCAUCUUUUUUUUUUUAUUUAAAAAAAGACAUAAAUCAUCACAAACUCAAACAUUUCUACUCUCUAUCAACGCAACUCCUAUUUGAUUUCUAACUUUAUUCAUGCAGCCUCCAUCUUGCACUCUUACUGGAUUAUAUGAACUGAUUUCUUCAUUUAUAUUGCUUUCUUCGUCACGCUCAAUCAUAUAUUCAGAGAUAACAUCACAUUUAUUAAACUCUUCAUCUUCAACUCCACACAUUCGAAUAAAGUUGUGGAGUGCUGUUGUUGUAACUAUGAUCUUUUGUUGUUUGAUUAGUGAAAAUGGUCGCAUAUCACAUAAGAUAUGCCACCUUUUUUUUCCAAACUCCAAUUGUUCUUUCAAUGACAUUUCUCAAUGAAGAAUGUGCAUGGUUGAACACUUCAUGGAUACCUUCUGCUUGACUAUUAUCUCUAAAAUCAGGAAUGUGAUAUCUUUCACCUUUGUAUGGUGAAAGGUUCCCUUUCAUGUUUGGAUAUCCAGCAUCAACCAAAUAAUAUUUUCCUAAAAAAUAUAAAAUUUAUUGUUAGUUUAUGUGUAAACUUAAAUUUAAAGAUACACGUGUUUUGAAAUUUAUUAUAAAAUAUAAUUAUGCAACGAUGUUAAAACCGUCCACUUAAAUUAGGCUAAACUUCACUUUUCGCCCUCUAAGUUUCAAAAUGUUGCGAUUUUGGCCCCCUAUUAAAAAAAUGGCAAAAGUGACCCCCUAUGUUUAGGGAAAUAUGCUCUUUUGACCUCCUAACAUAAGAGAAAUAUACUUUUUGACCCCUUAUAUUUACAAAAAGUUGCGAUUAUGACCUCUUUUUUGGGACACGUGGCGUCUUCUCAUCAAUUUUGGGAUGAAAUGGGCCAAAAUUGCCAUUUUUUUUAGGCUUAAAUAUGCAAACCGUCCCUGUAAUUUGGGCGAAUUUUGAUUUUCGUCCCUGUAAAAAAAAAAAUUUUAAUUACGUCCCUGUAAAUUUUUUUUUGUUUUAAAAAGGUCCCUGGCCCCACUUCGCUGGUGAUGUGGCAACAUUUUUGGCCACGUGGCAGUUGCUGACUGUGCAACUUUUGCCACGUGGCGCUGACGUGUCAUGCCACAUAAUUAAUUUUUGUUUUUUUUUUCAAAAUUCUAAAAAUUCAUUUUUUAAAUUAAAAAAUCCGAAAAUAAAUAUAAAAAUCAUAAAAAAAAACUGAAAAUUAAAAAAAAAAAUUAAAUUGACGAAAAUUCAUUUUUUUUUUAAUUCUGAAAAUUAAAUUAUAUUUUCAAAAGUUAUAAAUUUUGAGAUUAUAUAAUUUUUAAUUUUAUUUUUCAAAAAUUUAUUUGUAGAUUUUAAAAACACUAAUUUCCAAUUUUUUUCUUCACAUUUCAAAAAAAAAAAAAUUGGAAUUUUUUUUAUGAUUUUUUUAUUUAUUUUCAGUUUUUUUUUCAAAUUUUUAAUAAUUUGGAAAAAAAAUAAAUCAGUUUUUUUUAAAAAAAUAAAAAAUAAUGACGUGGACCGCCACGUGGCAAAAGUUGCACAGUCAGCAACUGCCACGUGGCCAAAACCUUGCCAAAUCACCAAGGAAGUGGGGCCAGGGACCUUUUUAAAACAAAAAAAAUUUCACAGGGAUGUAAUUAAAUUUUUUUUUUUACGGGGACGAAAAUCAAAAUUCGCCCAAAUUACAGGGACGGUUUGCAUAUUUAAGCUUUUUUUUUAAAAAGAACCAAAAUCGCAAUAUUUUAAAAUAUAGAGGGCGAAAAGUGCACUUUAACCCUUAAAUUACCGAGACCCGAGAGAUAAAUCUCAGCAAUCCAAAUUACACAAAAUAUAUGUAAAUUCAAGUGAGUCUCCAUCACCUAGUAGAAGAUGAAAGUGUUGUGCACACUUGAAAUUCAUCCAAACCCAAACCCAACAUUCUCUCUCUCUCUCUCUCUCUCUAACCUCUCUCUCUUCAAUGGCUUCUCUUCCCACUUUCUCUCCACACUCUCUCCUCCCCAAACCCAACACCACAACACUCUUUCCCCAUUCAACCUCACCAUCCCACACUCUCUCUCUAACCUCUCUCUUUAGAACCAAACUCACUCUCCAACGACCCAUUUCUUCAACGGGUUCUAUCUCCAUCACUAACUUCCGUGCCACUUCAGAAACGGUGCCUUUUAAUCUCCCCACUGAUUCGUAAGUUGUUUGGUUUCAUCAAUUUUCUUCUGGGUCGGUUUUAAUUUGCUUAAAGUUUCUAUCUUUUUUGUUUUUUUUUUUUCUUUCAGGAAUCCACAAUCUGGUGAAACCAAGAAAACUCCAACUCCGUCAAAGUGAGUUUUUUUAUUUUAUUUGUUUGUUCAUUUUGUUUAUAGUUCAAUAUUUCAUGUAAUUGGGUCCGGGACCUACGAGUGUGUUCCUCUCAAUGUCUUAGGUUCGAUUAUUUAGUGUUAACAAUUCAUGUGUUGGGUUAGUCCAUACAUGGCUUUUCUCCGGCUUCAAUUGAGCCCCGCUAAGUUAACCGGAUUAGUUGGUACUUGAGCCGAAUACAGAUAAAAUAGAAUAAUUCAUCUAAUUGGGGUUAGAAUGUUGUGUUUUUAUGUUUGUGGAUUGAAUGUAGUCAAAUACUCCCUCCGUCCCAAAUUGUAUGACGUUUUGGCCAUUUCACACGUAAAUGUAAUUAAUAUUGUGUGGGGAAGAUAAAUUAUGAGUUUUUUUACAAAAUUAUCCAUAAUAAAUGGUAUGGAAAAGAUAAAUGAAAUAAUUGAAAGAAGAGAUAAUAAUUAAUAGUUAAGGAUAUAAUAGGAAAAAUAACAUUAAUAUUUCAUUGGUAUUGUAAAGCGACAUAUAAUUUGGGAUAAUUUUUUUUUCAAAGCGACAUACAAUUUGGGACGGAGGGAGUACUCCCUUAAUCCUUUAUUAUAAGAAUCUCUAACAAUAAUCACAUAUAUUAAGAAAAAGUUGUUGGAAUAAUAAAUUUAUUUGAAAUGUCUCAGACUAUUACUGGUUUAUCCUCUAUGUAUAAAUACAUUUAGUGUUUAUUUUUUAUAUUCUAAGAUAAAUUGAUAGUAUUAAUAAGAGAUAUAUUUGAGGAAAAAAAGUAAUAAGUGCAUAUAGAAAUUUGUAGAGGGUCUUAUAUUUAGGGAAAAUAUAAUUUUUGCAAUGGGUCUCAUAAUUAGGGGUGGAGGGAGUACUCCGGUUGUCCUACCGUUUUUAAAGUUUGUUUGUCCCUAAAUAUAAGACCCUCUACAAAUUUCUAGAUGCAUUUAUUUAAAUAUAUCCCUGAUUAGUAUUACAAAUUUUCCAGAGAAUAUGAAAAACCAACAUUAAUGCAUUUAUUCACAGAGGGUAAUUUACUAAUAGACACUCACAUUUCGGACAAAUUUAUUAGUCCAAUGAUUUUCUUAAUACCAUAUUUUUGUUAGACCUUCCUGAAAUAAGGGAUGGAGGGAGUAACUGUUAUAGUCGAGCUAUACUGCUAUAGAUUUGUGUGGAAUUCGAACAUAUCGUUAUUAUUAUGCGAUACAAUAUUUAGUACAUAGCGUUGUCAAAUGGUGGCUGUAGCAGUGCUUUACCAUUGAACAGUACUGAAAUUUGAAAUGACGGCUAUUUUCUGCAAUUGACAACACUGUUAGAUAAACGACAUGUUUUCUUCAAUUUGUUCACAUUGCUUAUAAUUCAAUUAUGCGUGANNNNNNNNNNNNNNNNNNNNNNNNNNNNNNNNNNNNNNNNNNNNNNNNNNNNNNNNNNNNNNNNNNNNNNNNNNNNNNNNNNNNNNNNNNNNNNNNNNNNGCAAGUAAGUUGACUAAAUUGUAUUGUUGGCAAGCCCUUUUUACUUACCCAAGCAACAAGGUUCCCACACAAGGAUGUGCAAUAACCUAAGGUGGAUCUUCUGUCACCCACUGAACCUCUGUAAUUUGGUAUGAGUUUCCAUAGUCAGGUUUCCACCUCUCUUGAACACCCACCACUUUUCUUUCCACUUAAUAAGAUGGCGAUGAACGUGAAUCAAUCUUUCAUUCUUUUCACUUUGCAAAUUAAGCUAGACACGUGUUGUUCUUUUUUCUAUAUAAGUAUCUCAUUUUCAUUACCUCCUAGCUUAUUUUGGAAAUAAAAUUAAGCUCAACAAUAAAUUUACCAAUCUCUAACGUUCGCGAAACUAUUACCCCUAGUAGAUUUGCCUUCAGCUUCUAUCCCAUAUUUUGUAAUUGAUCAAAAUGUUGAAUGCUAUUUUUGUUGAACUUAACAAUCAACUUGAUUGUCAAAUGAGGAAGAUGACACAUUGUCAUUGUCUCAUGUUCCUUGAAUCACCAUUUGAUUAACUUGCAUAAUUAAUCAAUUGAAGACACAAGGAAUUUGAGCUCAAUGACUCUGCGUCCACUUCCUCAUUUCGUGUGAGAGAUUAUUGCCAAGUGCAAUGAAAAUAAUCUUGAAUGUUUUGAUGAUUUGCAAAAUAUGGAAAUGAGAAUGGAUAAGGGAAAACUUGGCUUGACAAUUUUACAAUUGUUGGAGAGGCCUGUCAUUGAUAAGUUAGAUCAAACAGGAUCUAUACAUGGACAUUGGUGCUCCACACAAGGUUCUGGAUGAGUUUUUCAUAACAUUUUCUUAAUGGACAAUCAGAGACGCGACUCUAUUCUUCUUAGUAUUUUCUCUCCCUUCCCGUCAUGUCUUUUCACUUUCCCAUUAAACACUUUUCUAGGAGCCUUCACAUCUUUUUCGAUGUUGUCCUCUCCCUGGAUGCCUGCAUCUCUACCUGUAAAUUGCAUUCAUUCCUUUUUGUUGAAAUUUGGGGCCUAACUCAUCCUUACAAAACCGGCUUGUAAGGUGAGGAGUGCCUCGUCUUUAUAAACUCUUCUCAAGAGUGCUAUCUAUCCGAUGUGGGACUAAAUCCACCCCCUCAAAGCCAACACAAUGAAGGUGUUGGAGGCUGCAAUGAAGGCUAACCAAAGGGCGCAAUUUAGGCGACUAGGGGCGGACCGCAAUUAAGGCAGAAUUUCCAACACUUUUCAAUUUUCUGGAUGAAUGGCUAUUGUGUAAUAGCCAGAUUGAUUGGUCGCGAGACCGCUGGUACUGAAAUGAUAUUUUUCCCUUUGGUGCUAUAUGUUCAAGAACAAAUGUUUUUCCCUUUCAAUAAAUAUUGUCUGUCUUUUGCUGUAUAAACUGUUUGCUAGUUACACAUCAUUUCAUCCUACUCCUACUCAUGGCAUUUUAAAUUAGAAUGGAUUGAAAAAGCAAAUCUUUGACUUUGUGGAUUAUUUAUCCUUUAUCCUUAGUCUCAUAUCUGUUUGGUUUUCUUCAAAUACUAGGUGGGAGUCUUUUUUUAUGGCAGCACAGCAUUCCUCAUAGGUCCUAAAAGGCAAGUAUCGAUGAUGCUUGAUCCUGUUCGUAUUUAUGCAACAGCCAUAUACAUCGCAAGUAUGAUAAUUGCCUUGUUUUGUGCACUUUAUGUAAGUCAAACUGCAUCUGCAUAAGGUUUGUUUUAUUUCUGACAGAAAAUAGUUUCUUUUAAUAGCUUAUUAUUUCAUUGUUUUCAAUUGAGCAGGUUCAUAACAAAUUACUGACAUUUCUUGCGAUUAUCUUGGAGUUUGGGGCACUAGUUUGGUAUGUCAUAAUUUUUCCAAAUGCAUUCCAUGUAACCUUUUUUUAUAGUACCUUCAGUGUGAUGUAGGCACACGUUAGUUCUCAUGAAUCUAGUGAGGAAAUAAGGAGUAUGCUAUGUAGGAUCCUAGUGUAAAUUGAAUUAGCACAUAUGCCCUGAAAAAAUGCUAUAUGGCCAGUAUGGCAGUACCGAACUGAAAUUACUAUAAUGUAUUUUCCGCUUCAGCUUCGUUAAGUACUCACUGUUGAGUCAAGGCACAAGCUUCUAACCUUGCACUAAUGUGUUUUAUGUUAUGUAAAUUAUUAUACACUUAAACAUGUCUGCUCAGUGGUAAGAGUUUUAUUGCAUAAUCUUAAGGAGGGACAGUUCAAAUCUCCUUAAUGGAGGAUUUUAGAAUGAUCAUUAGUGCCACUUUUGUUUAUAAUAAUCUUCACCUUCUCCAAAUUUUUUGUUUCAUCAUAAAAGAAAGAUACACUGAUACUUCAAUUUUGAUAUAUUGUCCCAAACUUGUAUCCAAUGUCAUAUCAUCAAAAGUAGAUGCGGCACUUGUUAUUAUAGGAAAAGAAUUUUAACAAUGCAGUAGCAUGUGAUUGGAUGAUAUUGCAUAAUAGCUUUACAUUAAUAAUUGAUCAAAAUUACAUCUAUACUUUGAACUAGUUGAUUUUUGUAUUAAUCAGAAAUUUAUAAAGCCUUUGUAAAAGAACAAAAAGUACUAACUUUUAAUAUUGUUUGAUAUGUUUCUUAUUGUGUAUUAUUUAUUUUAAAAGAAUAUAAUGACAAUAACAAAUUCAGGCUGAAAAACAAAUAAAAAUCUGUAAUGCAUGGCAUACAUAUUAGAGUUAAUCUUUAUCUCACUCCAGCAUAAAAUAUGAUACGUCUUUGAGCAUGCAAUAUGAUUAUCCAAAUGUAACAUUAAUGAUUGUUUCCACUCCUUGUACAAUGUUCUAAUUCUUCCUUGGUAUUUCUGAUUUUUUGAUUGACAGGUAUAGCUUGAGCUACAUCCCUUUUGCGAGGUCCAUGGUUUCAAAGAUCAUGGUUUCAUGUUUUGACACCGAAUUUUAGGUUACUCAUUCAAAAGGCUAUAGCAUUCUAUGUUGAACUGCAUUGAUGAUACUGAGUAUACUUGCAAUCCUGAAGAAAUACUGUCGUAGAAAUACGAAUGGAUGGAUUUGAUUCAACCUUGCCUGCCCCUUUCCUUUUCUGGAGUCUUGUCUAGGUUCUAUUUGUUUGGUAGAAGUAAAAUCUUGUGCAUUUGUAUAAUGUUGUCGAUUAGCUAAUGUAAAGAGUUUUGUUUCUCUCGACCUCAUGUCCUUUCUUUGCUCUUUUUUCCUUUAAGUUGUUUUCAAAUGAUGAAAUCCCAGUGGUGCUCUCGACUGUGUCUGGAAUAGGACUUUUUUAGAAAAAUAAAAAAUAAAAUGAACUAAACUGAACCAAAACAUAUCGAAAAGAACUGAAUUGUGACGAGAAGUUCACAAAGAGAACUAGAUCAAAUUGUGAACAAUCCGUAACAGUUGAAUUCUUUUUGGUGCAGUUCAGUUUGUUUUAACGGUUCAAUUCUGUUAUGAUUAUUUUAACCAUUAUAAUACCUGGUUUUGGUUUGAUUUUUGUUAUUUUUAACAGUACAUUACUUAAUAAUGGCAACUUGUAUGGUUUGGUUCACAGAAUCAAUUUGAUUUGAAAAGGUACAAUUCAGGUUUCUGUAAAGGUAGUUUCAAUUCAUUUUGGAAACAUAUAACUUGUGUACUGAACUUUUGUACCAAUUUGGUUAUGGAAUAAUCAUUGAUCGUUCAAUUCACUUUUACCAAACAGUUGUAAAAGACCGUUUUGGUUUUCCAAAUCGAAGAACCAAACCGCGAACGUUCCUAAUCUCAAGCUCACACGAGUCAUUUGUCAGGAACCUUUUUUGUGUAAAUCUCACCACUUUAUGCGUGAACUAAUGAGAUCUGCAUAAAAUUUUACCCAAUAAGAGAGAACGUUGAAAAUAUAAUGUUAGAAUGAGUGUUGAAAUCACUACAUUCUUCAAUAGUUUUUGAAAGUGAAAGAACUUAAAAUCUCAAGGUUGUAUCAAGAGUUGUCACAUUACAUACUCAUAUUAGCUAUCAAACAACAACUCCAACCUCAAACUGUGUGAACAUUUAGUGAAACCAAACAAAGAGAGCUGAACAAAUGAAUCAUCAAACAUCUCAACAAUAAGGAAAGUACUUCAAAUUUCUUUAUUCAGAAUUCAAUUUUUACAUUUAAGGGCUUCACAACACAAACACAAAUAACAUAAGUAACUUAAUUCCAAGCAACAGAUCUUGAUAGAUACAUAUUGAAUAACCGUACAUUGAGAGUAUAUGCCAUUGAUAGUAUAUGUAACUGAAAACUGAAUUUAUGUAUAAAAAUACAAGUUUAGCUGGAAUCUGAUGUAAACUGGUAAGAAGCAUAAGAGAGAGUUCCCAAAUUAAUACUACUGUGUAUAAGUUUGGCCUUGGAAUUUUCACCAGCAGCACCAAUAGCAACAUGCAAUGGAUAAAAAUGAUCUGGAUGUGGAUGAGCCUUUUUCGCAUGCGGCGCCUUUUGUUCAUAAUGAUUCACAUCUUCAUAUCUACAAAAGCAAUUCAAAUUAAAACAUUCACAACCAAUCCAUGAAGAACCAAACCAUACAAAUUCAUAUACUUAGCACCCGAUGUUUUUAGAUAUGAUAGCGUUUUGAUUCUUUAUAUAUCGCAUAAAAUUGCGUUGCAAUAUAGUUGACGCAGCUGAUCAGACACACUUUUAAUUUGCGAUCGUAUUAGUCAAGACUGCAUUGCAAUACUUGAUAUUGUGGAUUUGUGGUCAAAUAUGCAAUGUGAUCACGACGUAAAAAAGCUGCAUGAUGCAGCCAUAACUGCAGUCACGAACUGUUUUGAAACCUUGGUUGUGGAGACAUCAUAAGACUUGACAAGCAAGAAUUGAAGUCGCUAACAAUUUUCAAAACCUUGUUAAUACCCUCAACAAAAUCAACUAUGUCUGCGUUUGGUUUCACGAUAGGGAGAGCCAAAAGUGAUUUCAAACACAAAAUCGAUUUCUUUUGACAUAUGAGUGGUGUCGAUUGAAAUUUCUUUUUCAUCUAAAAAUUUAUUCUAACUCGAAUCAAGGAUUUGUAAAUUUUACUCCAAACAUUUUUUUUCAAUCAAAUUCGUUGUUCAUCUCAUAUUUAAGUUAAUGUAUACAAACAUAAACAUUUCGAAUUCAACUCACUUUUGACCAAACCUAAUUUUCGUCACCGCAGAACCAAACACACGCAUAUGUAAUCUUUAAACUCGAACAUCAAAACAGAAAAAGGGGUACAAACCUUCCAUCAAGAAGAGCAUCUUUCAACCAAUUAUCGAAUUCUAACGCCCAAGGAGCAACACCUGCACGAGGAUUAAGUGUUCCCAAAUUAUGAACAGCACUUCCAGAACCCAUUAUUAACACACCUUCAUCUUUAAGAGGUGCCAAUGCUUUUCCUAAGUUAUAAUGGUAAGUUCCAUCCAAGUCAGAUUGAACAGAAAGCUGACAAACUGGAAUGUCAGCUUCUGGAUACAUUAACAUGAGUGGAACCCAAGCACCAUGAUCAAGACCUCUUUUUUUGUCUUCAUCGACGCGGUCGAAACCGGAUUUGUUGAGUAGUUCCUUCACCCUUUUAGCUAAUUCUGGAGCUCCAGGUGCUGGAUAUUUAAGCUGGUAAAGGAAUCAUAUAAUAUAAGAGAGAAGGUAUAUUGUAUAGGCCAAAUUACACCAGGGUCCUUUAAGUUUGAGGUUUGU
rnacentral:lncRNA from 1 species